rnacentral:lncRNA from 1 species
CUCUGCUUCCUCUUGAUCAUGGGGAAAUUAAUUAGCGGUCAUCCAUGUCUGAAUUUGACACUAGUUCUCACGACAACAACCCUCACUUCCUCAGGGAUCGACCACAUCGCCGUGGACAUGAAGGACCAGAAGAUGACGGUCGUCGGCACCGUCGACCCCAUCGCCGUCGUGGCCAGGCUGCGCAGCAAGCCCUUCCCCACGGCGCAGAUCUUCUCCGUCGGCCCGGCCAAGGAGGAGAAGAAGGACGUCGACAAGAACGACGCGGGCAAGCCGGUGGAGUACCCGACGUACUGGUAUCCGCCGCCGCCGUACCACCCGCACCUGUACCACCUCGCUCACAGCGCCGAGGAGGACCCCAACUCGUGCAUUAUCUGUUGAUCGACGCGCACCGUCGAUUCUCUCCCUUCUACAUUUUUGUAUCUGGCCGUCCUGCCUGGCCUGCCGAUCGAUCAGCGUACCUGCACCGGUGAUCAACGGCGUGCGUUAUGUAUAUGGCCUUGUAAGGUGUGUAAGUUGCGCCGGUGAUCCGGCAGCUGUACAGCACAGCUGCAUCUGCCUAUGCCUCUGCUUAUAGUUUGUAGUGUGCAGAUACAGAAUUACAGUAUAUGUUGGUCAGAAAGGAAAAUCAUCAAGUUGUUAAAAUGAAAAGUGUUGUGAAGGAUCAGAUAGAAUUGUUAAAAAGAAAAGUGUGGAGAAGGAUCAGAUAGAAUCAUUAAGCGAGGCAGGCACAAAGAGAUGAGAAAUUCAGGCGGACAACUAGAUUGGUCUCUCGUGCAUCUUUACAUUUACCAAUAGAAACUCUAAACGCCAAAGCUAUCCAGCUGUGCUCCAUCUAAGAGUUGCUUUCAGUAGUCAAUGAUAACAACGUGUGAAAAGGAUUCCAUGCUUUCGGACUGUUUUUAUUACUCAUGUAUGCUUUCAUUGUUACGAGUCCUAACACACGAUUACGACCUAAUACAUUGCUAAUUAUCCAUCUCACAAAAUACACAUUCUUAAUGGCAGGUCUUAAUCGCUGCUCCAAGUGCACAGAGUAUUCAUUUGAUAUCGAACAUCUUUUGUUUUCAACGGACGGCUGCAAGCCAUGCGCAUUUUAUCCAUUCAUUACCCUAUUCUGUUUGACUUAGUGAUAACGUUGCUUCAUUAAAAAAAAAACUUGUAUCUUUGCUCUAGAAAUAACAAGAUACACUCAGGUCGUCAACCGGAGAGAGUUUUUUAACUGAUCUGAAGACUAGAGUUGCGGAGAUACCUCACUAUCAUUGGAAUGUUUUCGUUCGACGCUGAUACACGACUUGUGAGUCCUAACCACCCACUAAUAGUUGUUUGUUGCCACAUUUACCUAUUACUCCCUCCGUUCCUAAAUAUAAGUCUUUUUAGAUAUUUAGGGACGGAGGGUCAUAUUGAAAUGUGUCUAUAUACAUCCGUUUGUAGUUUAUAUUGAAAUUUUUAAAAAAAGUUAUAUUUAGGAACGGAGAGUAGUGACAUUGUAACAUUAUUUAUACUCUAUAGAAAAAUCUGACAACUCGCACCCACAAAUCAGGAUGGUGUCUAGUCUAGGUAGACAAGUCAGAGAUAUCUUCCUAGGGAUGUAUCUGACAUGACACAGGAACGCCACAAUAAUCGACAUCGUUUUAUAGAAUUUUACAUGAUUCGAUAUGGAAAAACGAGAUAUUUUGAAAUAACUCGCUAAGAUCCAACUGAUGCAUGUUUCUUGCCAACUGGGUUUCGCUUGUCGGUUCUAGUGAAAAUAAUGAAAUGUAUCCCUUAGUACCAAAGUAUAAGACAUUUUUGUAGUUUAAAUUAAACUACAAUACGUCUGACAUUUUGAAAUAGAGGUAGAAGCAUAAGUAUGUCACAAGACAUAACGGCUAAUAAAGUGGCAAAGAUAGCCAAAAAUAGUUAUGGAGGGUAAACAAAUGUCACACUAUAAUACAAUUAAUAAACAAAUACAAGAUACACUGUCAAUCAUCCCGCGUUGAGCUUCAGUGCGCGUGUCUUUCUUCUCCAGUGGUAAUUUUCCACCGUGCCGGUCCCACGUGAAAGUUCAUGCAUGUGUUAGUUUGACUCCCAACCGCAACGUUUAUUAUGCUCACUCCUCUACAGGUCUGUGGUUAAGUGCUCGCACUGCCAUUUUCUUAACAACACAACGGCGGCGACGAAGGGACAAUCCGUCGUAGGUACUCGCUAUGUGUUUUUCAUUUUGUGGAGCAGUAUUGAUAUUUUAUUUUGUAUCGUCGUGCUGCACUUUCUGCCGCUGACCCCUCCAAGAUCUCACGUACUCGGUGAGCUAAGGGCAUCUCCAGCCGCGCCCCCAGGAAGGCCUCCCCAGGCGAUUUAUUCGCGCCGGCGCCGAAAAACGGCUCAGUCACGCCCCCAAGAGCCCGAUUUUCGUCGGCUUUGGCGGAAAACAGCGCCGGCGGACCCAGCCCGAACCCGGCGCGCUGGGGGGCGUUCGGGGGCGCCGGGGCGAGCUGUUUUGGCGCUAAAAAGACGCGGGCCAGCCGAGUCAGCGACUCAGGCGCCUCGUCUUCCCCCAACGGCCUCGGUUCCCGCGGGAAAUCAAUGGCAAGGCUGCCGCCGGUCAGCCUUGCCAUUGAUUCCUCACGGGCGGCGCAUCACGGGAUGGCGCGCCGACGCCUCCCCUCCCUCGCACGCGUACACACGGGCGCGGCCCGGCUAUAAAAGUCGGCCGCCUCCACUCGCCUGUGCCCACACCAGCCCCGCCCCUCGCCGCCGUCCAGCCCCUCCCUCUCCCUGCCUCUCCCGAGCGCCGCCGCCCAGCCCCUCCCUCUACCUCUCCCGAGCCCGCCCAGCCCCGCCGUCGCCAUGGCAGAACGCUUCCCCGGAGACGAGGCGGCGGCCAACGGCUUCGGCCGCCGUUCGCUCCGCGAACAAGAGUCCUGGCUCCUGUUCCAGGCGAACAUCCCGGCGCCGCCGGACAUGCGCGCCGGGCCAACGGGGUGGAGACUCAGCGCCGGGGGAGUGCACAUUCCCCCGUUGCCCGACGCCGUGGUGAAGCCGAACUACUUCACCGAGGAGGUCAAGAUCGUGCGCGCGUCCCUCACCAACGCCCAGCUCUCCCUCCCCCAGUACGCCGCCGACAACCACGCGUAUUUCGAGCGCCGCCAGCAGCAGCGAUUGGCGUCCACCAACGGCGCUCCGGUGGUCGGUGGCCGGCAGAACAGCGAGGGGCGCCACCUCUGGUGGGGCGUCCCCGGCCGCACUCUCGAGGGUGUGCUCACGUACCUCGAGGGCGGCAACGACCCGUCGUUGGCGUACCCCCCGACGCAGCACCGACGCGUCGGGCCAUGGGCGCCAAGGAGGUUCAGGUCCUCCUCCUCCUCUUCCUCCUCCCGAUCCUCAUCGCACUCCUCCGGCACUCCGGCCCUACUUGGCGUCAAGGCCGAGCCCGCGGCGGAGUCGCCGCUCGGCCGGCGCACUCGCAGCGUCCGCAUCGUCAUCAACGAGGGCGGCCGGCGCGCCUCCUCCUCGUCAGCUCCUCCGCGCUUCGUCAAGCCAAAGACGGAGCCGGGCUGGCGCCGGUGAAGGCGGAGUUCGACGACGACGACGCGGCCCUAGAAUGGGCGUGCCAGGACUCCAUUGCGAUGGAGAAGGCGCGCCGGGAGAAGGUGAAGGAGCGCCAGCGCGCCGCCCUGUGCCGCUUCGAGGAGCGCCGACGCGGCCGCGAUGAAGACGGGGUCGUCGUCCUAUGCGACAGCGACGACGACGACGACGCGCCGCCGCCAGUCCGCCAUGGCGACGCCGGGUCCAGCAGGGGCGCCCGCGUCAAGGAGGAGAAGGCCGACGACGACGAUGGCGGUGACGACUUCAGCCCCUUUCUUUUUUAGAUUAGGUUAAUGUAAUGAAAGUGCGCGAAUUUCGCUGAAAUUUGCCAUGUUUAGCCGAAAUUUAACUACUUUUUAUCAUAACUUCACCGAACGACCCUUUUUUUAAUACGCGCCUGGGAGCGGCCCUAGGGGCCGACGGUUGGGGACCGACUCGCCCCCAGGGCCAUUUUUUGCGCCGGCUCACCCCCAGGCGUUGCUUUUAGACGCCCCCUGGGGGGCCAACGGCUGGAGAUGCCUUAAGCCGGCCAGGAGGCCGUGAUGUCAGGUAUUCAACGUCAUGUGAGAGGAUGCGCCCCUUCGUUGUUCAGAUCGUGCGGCUUAAUAUUAGAGCAUCUCCAGCCACGCCCCGGGAAGACCUUCCCAGGCGAUUUAUUUGCGCCAGCGCCAAAAAACGGUCCAGGCGUGUCCCUAGGACGUCGAAUUCCGCCGGCUCGGGUCGUUUUUGCGUCCGGCGCUCGCAGGCCGAACCCGGCGCACUGCGGGCGCUCGGGGGCUCCGGCGCAAGCGAAAAGUGUUCCUGGGGCCACAUUGACAGGCGAAAAGUCAAUCCACCCGCCCAGAUUCGCCCUCCUGCCCCCCGCGCUCGGCCGCCACCCUCCGCCACCCUGCCGAUCGCGGCACCGACCACCGCCCGCCGCAGCUAGGUAGACAGUCUCCAUCCUAGAAAAAGAAGGAGCGUCGCCGAGGCAGCCUCUUCGCCGCCACCCCGGCACCUUUUCCGGCGCUCCGGCCGUGCAGGACCUAUACGCCGGCGGGCUUGCACCCACCUCGCCCACAAGGUGUUUGGUGAAUUGCACGGCCCGGCGAUGGACUCCGAAGAUGAGGAGGCGCUCGCGGCGUUGCUGGAUGAGGAAGCCGAAGUCGACGUGCAGUGAGAAGCCGCGCCGAGGUGGCUCAGCAUUUGGGCGGGUGAAAGCGAAGAACCGACAUCGUCUGGAAGGCUAUUGCAUGCUCUACACGGACUACUUCGCCGAUGAUCCAUUGCACGGCGAGAAAACAUUUCGGCGCCGUUAUCGGAUGAGCCGAAAGCUUUUCCUCUGGAUUGUGAAUUCCAUCCGGGUGUUCGACAACUACUUCAAGUGCAAGAAGGAGAUCCGAGACCCACAGGUGCAUCAAGAACUGCAACACGAUCUGGUGAAGCACCUAUGGAGGCUCAAGGGCGAGGCAGGGAAUGGAGAUGAAACUUGAGUUUUUAUUUGUUAAACGAUAUAAUUUGUAGUGAACUAUUUGAUUUAUGUGACGAAACAAGCGAAAACACGCCGAACUAUGUGAGGAGCUAAUUGAUUCUUAUUUGUUUGCGAAAAUUCACGCCGAAACCCGCCGAACCGAGCCGAAUAUGGGCCGAUUCACGCAGUUACCAGGCCAUUUCUGGACAUAUUUGGGCCGAAAGCUGGGCUGAAUUUGGCGCCUGGGGGCGACCUGGGGGCAACGGCUGGGUGCCGAACCGCCCCCAGCGCCGAUCUUAUCGCCGGCGCACCCCCAGGACGCUCUUUUUCGGCGUCCUGGGGGCCAAAGGGCUGGAGAUGCUCUUAGGUCUUCAUCCAUCUCCACCAUCCAAUGGGCUAUCUCCUUAAUUUCAAUGUCGCCACACCCUCGUCCCCCUCAUGCCCCCGCGCCGUCUCCGAGUGGUUCGAGCGGAAUCAACCGCGCCAGUGUCCCUCACCACCCCCUCCUCUACCCCCUCCCCCGCUGUUGCCGAAUGAUGUGGCCGGACUAAGCCCGCGUAGCGGACGAUGGUGGUGGGGGAUCUCCCGCUCAUGGCAGCGCGGGCGCUUUCUGGAUCUCGGGCGGCGGCUUGGCCUUCGUGGCGACUGACGGCUACUGCGGUCGUGCGGGCGGCAUGGUGGCUAGGCCUAGCGGAGCACCAGCCUUCCCCUUGGCAGCGCGCGCUCGGCGUAUGGAGCAUGAUGCUCUGGAUCUCGGCGUGGGAAGGCUGGUGGCUGCCGGAUCUGACCGGGCAUAGUUGGAUACGGGCGGCCUUCGUGGGUUCUGCUUUGGUCGCAUUUGUCGUCUCCACGAGGUGCAGUGGCUGCGGCGCGGCGGCGGCGACCUCCUGUCCCCAGCCUGGUGUGGCGAUUGCAGGCUAGUAGCGGGCUUCAGGUUGUAUCGAUCUAUGCUGGGGAGGGGGGCGAUCUGCUCGGGGCAAAUGCCCUGCUCUGGUUGUGGCUGGAGAUGGCGAUGGCGGCGCCUACGGGCACCGCUUCCCUGUCGAGGACGUCGUUGUGAGCUUGCCUUCCACCUUCCUUCGGCUCAGGGGGAAACCCCUGCUCUAGCAGAUGAUGGCGGUGCUUUGCUUUGCUUCCUUCUUGAAGGUCCCAUUUUGGAUCCAGUUGAUUGGUAACGUUGCAUGAAAAUCAAAAACAUUCCUACAAAACACCCAAGAUCUAUCAAUGGAGAUGUAAAGCAAUGAGGGGAGUGUAUCUACAUACCCUUCUAAAACGAAAUCGUUAGUGUCGUAACACGAUUGAUAUAGUUGUACUCUUCACGAUCCAAUCGCGAUCCAAUCCGAUCUAGUACUACAUGUGCGGCGCCUCUGAGUCUAGCACACGGCUCGGCGGCAUCCUGUCCUUCUUAAUAGAGCAAGCGAGGGAGAGAAGGUAGAGGAGAUCUGAAGCAACAUGACGACAUGGUGGUGGUGGUGGCAGAAAAAAUCUGGCAGGACUCCGCCAAGCGCGUACCGGUGAAACGUGGGAGGAGUUGGGAGAGGUAAAGAGCAACCCCCACUUGCUGCUUGCUAAUCGCAGUUUUAAAAAAUGGCAUGAAGCUAGAUAUGAGUAGAUGUUGUUGGUCGAAAACGUCUUUCAUUGACAAUGAAACAUAAUGGAAGGGGGGCUGAGGGAGUCCUGGACUAAGGGGUCCUCGGGCGUCCGGCUAUGUGAUGUGGGCCGGACUGAUGGGCCAUGAAGAUACAAGCGAGAAGAACCUUCCCCGUGUCCGGAUCGGACUCUCCUUUGCAUGGAUGGCAAGCUUGGCAUUCGGAUUAUGCACUUUCCUUCUUCUGUAACCGACUCUGUACAACCCUAGAUCCCUCUAGUGUCUACAUAAAUCGGAGGGUUUAGUCCGUAGGGCAAGAUCACAAUCAUACAGGCUAGACAUCUAGGGUUUAGCCACUACGAUCUCGAGGUAGAUCAACUCUUGUAACCCCUAUAUUAAUCAUAGUCAAUCAAACAGGAAGUAGGGUAUUACCUCCAUUAAGAGGGCCCGAACCCGGGUAAACAUUGUGUCCCCUGCCUCCUUGUUACCUUCGAUCCUCAGACGCACAGUUCGGUACCCCCUACCUGAGAUCUGCCAGUUUUGACACCGACAUUGGUGCUUUCAGUGAGAGUUCCACUAUGUCGUUACCAGAAGGAUUGAUGGCUCCAUUAACCAUCCACGUCAACACCGCCUUGAGGGAGACUUUACUCCCCAGCCAAAUCUUCGUAUUCGGCGGCCUCGCACUACGUGCCAAUUCGAUUGGCCAUCUGGAGCAGAUCGACAGCUACACCCCUGGUCAUCAGAUCAGUUUCGAAAACCUAAACUACGGCGCUGAUGUCCGAGGAGACUUGAUCUUCCAAGGGCUCGCGGCCUCAAUCGCCGCUCCGUCCUCAGAUCCGGAACACCUCACCGAGCUGGACUCCCCUCCGCGCACCAGCUCUGAACUGUCGAGGUAUGUGUUAUACGAGACCGGCGAAGGAACUCUUGUCCCGCCCCGCUCCACGGAUUCUCGCUUCCUUGUCCAUACCUCGCCCUUGAACGAGGCUCUGGACCUAAUGCGAUCUCUUGCCAUUAUGGAAGAAUCGCUGCCGAACUAUGCCGAGCCUGCACUAGGGGCUGAGAGCAGGGAAUUUUACUUCCCACCCACCACCCACUUCAUAGACAAUGUCGAGGACUUAACCGACAUGCUUGAUUACGCUUCCGAGGACAUCAAUGGUAUGGACGACGAUGCUAGAGAAGAACAAGGCCAUAACCCGCCGCUUACCGGAUGCUGGAUGGCUACCUCUACGUAUGACGUGUAUAUGGUGGAUACACAUAAAGAAGAUGACGGCAAAGGUGGCAAUGACCCAGUUGAGAAUAAUUCUCCUAAGGCACCACCAAAGCGUCGUCGUCAGCUCCGCUGCUCUAAACCGCACCGAGAAAAAGACAGCAAUAUCAGCACCAAAGAUGACAAUACUCCGGAUAAUGCCGAAGACCAAGAAGCCCCGGUCCAACCAACAUCCGAACAUGAUGGUUGGGAGAGGGGCAAGUCAAUCCCGACAGUCCCAUCAGGAACAAGGGUUCGGAGGAUGAUGAUUACAUACCAAUCUCCGAAGAAGACGAGAGCCUUGGCAACGAAGAAUUCAUCGUGCCAGAGGAACCCUUCGAACAAGAGCGCUUUAAGCACCGGCUAAUAGCCACUGCAAGAAGAUUGAAAAAGAAGCAACAGCAGCUUCAAGCUGAUAAGGAUCUGCUCAAUGACAGAUCGACCGAUGUCCUGGCAGCCGAGGAAUAUGGCCUCGAAUGCCCAACCAAGAGUUACCCGAAGCGCAAGCUGCUACCCCAAUUCGACGACGAGGCCCCAAAGCCUAUACCUCCCAAGCGUAAUGCUACUGAAGGACCUGACCGACCACCACGUGGCCGAGACAGGGCGGCAACUCAAGACGAACACGUGCCUGCACCACCCCACUGUAAUGGUAAAGAGACAACAGCCGCAAGAUACACUUACAACCUACGACAGGACCUGGAUAAUAGAGCUGGUCAGACCCGAUCUAUAUACGGAUCAAGGGGCCGAGCCCUAGCGCGAGAAGAUGGCCAUCAAGCCUAGCGCGACAAGCAUAACUUCAUCCGUGCUGAAAACCGCAUGCGGACUCCAUCCGAACUGUGCCAUGAUGUGGCCCGAUAUAGAGGUGCCGCGCACCCCCUAUGCUUCACCGAUGAGGUGAUGGAACACCAGUUCCUAGAAGGGUUUAAGCCCGUGAACAUCGAAGCAUACGAUGGCACGAUGGAUCCCGCAGUGUGGAUUGAAGAUUUCCUUCUCCACAUUCACAUGGCUCGCGGUGAUGAUCUACAUGCCAUCAAAUACCUCCCUCUCGAGCUUAAGGGACCAGCUCGACACUGGUUAAACGGCCUCCCAGAAAACUCUAUUAGAAACUGGGAAGACCUAGAGGACGCCUUUUGAGACAACUUCCAGGGCACCUAUAGACGACCUCUGGACGCCGAUGACCUUAGUCACAUAAUCCAGACCCCUAGAGAGUCAACCAGAAAAUUCUAGACCCGGUUCCUAGUGAAAAAGAAUCAAAUUGUCGACUAUCCAGACACUGAGGCUCUAGCAGCCUUCAAACACAGCAUCCAUGACGAGUGGCUUGCCCGACACCUCGGCCAAGAAAAGCCGAAGUCUAUGGCAGCCCUCCCAUCACACAUGACCCGCUUUUGCGUGGGUGAAGAUAGCUGGCUUGUGCGCAGCAACAACAGUACCGGCGAUCCUGGCACUUCCAAAGCAAAGAAUAGAAACGGCAGGCCCUGACACAAUAAAAACAAGCGUUGAGGCAACACUGAUAAUACCGAAGACACAUCGGUCAACACCGGAUUCAGUGGCUCCAAACCCGGUCAACGGAAGAGGCCAUUCAAAGGAAACAAGGAUGGCUCAUCUAGCCUGGACCGAAUACUCGAUCGACCUUGCCAGAUUCACGGCACCCCUGACAAAUUUGCUAACCAUACCAUCAGAAGCUGUUGGGUCUUCAAACAGGCCGGCAAGUUAAACGCCGAACACACGGGGAAAGGGUCGCCCAGCAAGGAUGACGAUGAGGAGCCUCGCCCAUCGAACACAGGGGGGCAAAAGAAAUUUCCCCUCAAAGUCAAGACGGUGAACAUGAUAUACGCUACCCACAUCCCCAAAAGGGAGCGCAAACGCGCGUUAAGGGACUUCAAUGCGAUAGAGCCAGUCGCCCCAAAAUUUAACCCAUGGUCAGCAUACCCGAUCACCUUCGAUCGCAGGGACCACCCGACCAAUAUCCAUCAUGGAGGUUCAGCCGCAUUAGUCCUCAAUCCAUAUUAGGUGCGCCAUUAGUAGCGGUAUUUCUAGUAGUGAUUAGUCCUCAAUCCAAUUAUCGAUGGAUUCCACCUCACAAGAGUCCUCAUGGACGGCGGCAGCAGUCUUAAUCUGCUCUAUCAGGUCACAGUCCGGAAAAUGGGUAUUGACUCGUCAAGAAUCAAACCCACUAAAACUACCUUUAAAGGAGUAAUACCUGGUGUAGAGGCCCGCUGCACGGGCUCAAUCAUAUUGGAGGUCGUAUUCGGUUCGCCGGACAACUUUCGAAGCGAGGACUUAAUCUUCGACAUCGUCCCCUUCCGCAGUGGCUAUCACGCACUGCUCGGACAAAUCGCAUUUGCCCGCUUCAAUGCGGUUCCGCACUACGCUUAUCUAAAAUUCAAAAUGUCAGGCCUGCGAGGUGUUAUAACAGUCCAUGGAAACAUGGACCGUUCCCUCCGUACUGAGGAACAUACCGCGGCCCUCGCAGCGGAAGUACAGGUCGGCCUUAUCACGCCGAACUCCACAUCGGCAUCCAAUCCACCAGACCCUAUCAAACGAGUCCGAACUACCCCACAGAAUGAUAGUCCAGCCAACCAGGAGCUCGACUAGCAAUCCGGCCUCUGUCUUCACCCCAACAAAACAACGGCGUAUGUAUCGCGUGCUCAUAAUUACGUACUAAAAAUACCAUGGGCGGUGAUUGAGGCAUAUCAAGGAUGAGGUCCACAAUAUGGCUCAACCAUGUCCGGACCCCCAUCUAUCUUUUUCUUAACUUUGUUUUCCUUUUUAGGAUCGUUACAACCUACAUCGCCCUUUUUAUGGUGUCAAAGGGCCCCCUUUGCCAGCCCCUUAUGAAAACUUAUUUCAUUAAUCCUCUCAAAGGAUCACACACCAAGGCAAAAAAGAAGCGCAGAUGUACAAAGGAGUACCUAAAGGCUCUUUUCAUGAUCACCUCCCCAAUGAUUUUAAAUAUUUGUACACAACUUUUUUUGCGCUCGGCAUGUAAAAUAGCCUCGAUGCUUAUGGCAUUAUCUGUACAAAUAUGUUUUGACGUAGCAAUCAGACUAUAAUGGAAGCAGUUUUUCGCCCAAAUUACUUGGUACUGACUUAUUCCUUUUUUUUCGUAUUCUUUGAUCGCCAUGUACACCUCGGCCCGGCAUAAAUCGCCAGGGGCUCCAUUCAGCUGCGUACAUUUAUUACAUUUAUUACAAGUCCGAAUGCUUUCACAAGUGCAAUUAGGCGUCCCAAAUUUAGCAUUAUAUGCAUCAGCUCCGAAUCAUGUCUUGGGUCAAUAGUUGGGUUGUCCGGCUCGUGUGAUUGUUCGGCUAAGGAAGUAAAGGGAAAACUACUGCUUUUGUGUUUUUGGUUGGUCGGACAAGCACCUCAGUAGAGAAAGCCAAAAACUGACUAUCAUGAUGCUGCGAGAACUGGUCAGCUAUUCGGCGACUCAGUAUAAAUCUCUUGCGAUUUUUUCCGUGUCAUACGAAGGACUAGUUUAACGUAGUCAGGUGUUUACAACGCCCGAGUUCGGAUCGCCGAUCGAUACCAGGGGCUGCGCCUAUAAUUCUGUUGUCAAAUUCCUAUGGCUAAGUGAGAGUGAUAAAGCCGCAUAGUCAAUUGCCUGGUUCACCGCACUAGCACCUCCUUCAAGGACCACAUAGUUGGGUUAAGUGUGUUUUUCUACUGUACCGAACACCCCCAUAAUAUCUACGUGAGGGGCUGAAGCCGACGACUGUCCAGCUCUCAAAUUCGAUAAACGGCCACAAUGGAGGAUAAAUAAAUUCAGAUAAAACAAGACUAACAUCAUACGGACGCUUUGUUUUUAUUACACAGUUUGGGCAUUACGGAUACAAUCAUUCAAACAUCACGUCCUUCGAGCACAGGACCUCUAUGAUACGGGACCCUUCAAGGACGUCGUUUAAGUACUUCUCCGGUGUAAGAUGAUCCUUGCCUGUGGGCGGUCGUUUGGUUGCAACACUAGUGGCACUAUUCUUCGCCCGUUGUACCUUGACGCGGGCGAAGGCCAUCCGAGCACCUUCGAUGCAGACCGGCCGCUUAAUAGCAUCUAGCCUUGGGCAGGCAUCGACUAGCCUCUUCACCAGCCUAAAGUAGCUAUUAGGUAUUGGUUCAGCUGGCCAAAAACGGACUAUGACAUCCUUCAUGGCCAGCUCGGUCAUCCUAUGCAGCUCGGUCAGCUGUUUCAACUGAUCGCUGAGGGGCAAGGGCUGCUCUGGCUCAUGGUAUUGUGACCAGAACAGUUUCUCUAUUGAGCUCCCCUCCUCGGCUCGGAAGAAAUCUGCAGCAUCUGCAACACUUCGGGGAAAAUCCACAAACGCUCCUGGAGAACUCCAAAUGCAUGUCAAGAAGGUAUACUUUCUCCUUACAUAUUUGCUCUGCAUUUUAAAAGUCUCACCAGCCGUGAUCUUCUUGGCCUGGCGGAUCUCCUGAUAGGCACCUUGGGCUUCAACCCGUGCCUCCUUUGCACUUUGGAGCGCCGCAGUAAGAUCGAAUUCUUGAUCCGACACCCUCGCGCUCCAAAGACUCACAUUUUUUAUGGCGUCUGUGAGCUCUUGUUGGACUUCAUCCAACCUUGCCUCAUGAUUUUGGCGAGCGGUGUGUUCCUUGUCUGCCUCCUUCUUGGCUACGGCUAGCGCACUCUUGAGGGCUUCGACCUCAGACGAGUCAGCUAUGAGCAUAAAUAUAAAGCUCAGUCAUAUAACAAAUUGGAACUCAUAACAGUUCAGGUAUGCUUCGGUAUUACAUACCUUGUUUGAUCUCCAACCUUCGCUUUAGUUCGGAGACUUCAGCCACAUGCGAGGCUGCCGCUAACUUCGCAGCCUGCUCAUCAAUGUAGAUAUGUAUGUUAGCUCUUAUGAUACAUUAUUCGAUCCUCCGUUCGGCUCUUCUUUGGGAAAUGCCGAACAGAGUCUCAGGGGCUACUACCUAUACACAGUUAUUCCUUUUGUAAAUAACCAAAAAUACAUUACUUCACAUACCUCAAAGCCUAUUAGAAGGCUGGUGGAGGCUUGGUUCAAUCCGCUUUUGGCAGACCGAACCCGUUCAACCACCAUACCCAUCAAGGUACGGUGCUCCUCCACAAUGGAAGCACCUCGAAGCGCCUCCAUCAGUGUCCGGCGCCUCUGGAUUAAUAGAGGAUAAUGGUGGAGACCGCACACCCCCUUCCCUUGAAGAGGGUGGUUGCUCUGAUGCCGGGGUCGUAUUGGCCUCUGGAAUAAUAUUUGGUUGGGGGCCGAAUUGAGCAUUUCCCCAUCACCGGCCUCCGUAGGGGUGGAUUUCCCCCUCUCUUCGGCAACAGAGGUAUUACCCUCUGCUGCCACCUUCGCGGUCUGCCGAGAUAGCACUUUGGUGUUAUCUCGGGCGGUAGGUGGAGAGAUCUGCGGAGGUGACUCGCUCUCCAUCGCGUUCGUCCCUAGCGAGUUCCCGGAAGGCGAUGACCAUUGAAGAAGAUCGCAAGCCAGGCUAUAAUGCGCACUUCAGUAUGAUAAAACAGUAAGAUAUAAAAUCAAAAAUGUGUAUGGUGUCUUGGGAUACUUACGAUUCAACCGAGUGCUUCGUCCUGGGGCGCCGCUUUAGGGUGGCAUCAACAUCCUCUUCGGACUCAUCCGAGAAGAGAUUUUUCCUGUCUUGGCCACCUUCGCCUCAAGAUCCGCGGGAGCCCCCCUCUUCUUCCCCCCCUGGGGGAGAGUUACUCUCUUCCUCCUCCACGUCUUCGUCAUGGGAGGAGGAGGCUUCAGAAUCUUCGGAUAUAGCGUCCGAAGUACCCUUACGACGGAGACCACCUCUGGUCUCCUUGCCCUUCUUCUUGACCUUCUUCUCCGGCGCCUGAUACGGCGUCGGAACCAGCAUCUUGGCCAGCAGGGGAGUAGCCUGGUCCUCAGGCAGCGGAGCCGGAUAGUUGAUCUGCUCCGCCUUCUUUGUCUAGCCCUGUGGAAGUAAGAGGGUUCAAUAUACUCCUUGGAAUUGCAAAUAAAAGUUAUUAUAAACUUACUGGAGAAGCUGGAGGCGCGCAGUUAUAGCCACGGUCUUCGGUUGACUCUGGCCACGACUUUUGAGUCUUGAAGAGCAGCUUCAAUAUGUCUUGGUGCGUCAUACCGAAGAACCGCUGCAGAGUCCGAGGACCGGCCGGGUCGAAUUCCCACAUGUAUUGAGUCCGGCGCUGGUGAGGGAGUCCUGGAUUAGGGGGUAUCCGGACAGCCGGACUAUAUACUUUGGCCGGACUGUUGGACCGUGAAGAUACAAGACUCAAGACUUCGUUUCGUGUCUGGAUGGGACUCUUCUUUGCGUGGAAGACAAGCUUGGUGAUCCGGAUAUUAGAUUUCCUUCUUUGUAACCGACUCUGUGUAAACCCUAGCCCCCUCCGGUGUCUAUAUAAACCGGAGGGUUUGGUUCGUAUAGGGACAAUCACAACAAUCAUAAUCAUCAUAGGCUAGCUUCUAGGGUUUAGCCUCUACGAUCUCGUGGUAGAUCAACUCUUGUAAUACUCAUAUCAUCAAGAUCAAUCAAGCAGGAAGUAGGGUUUUACCUUCAUCGAGAGGGCGCGAACCUGGGUAAAACAUUGUGUCUCUUGCCUCCUGUUACCAUUAGCCUUAGACGCACAGACCGGGAACCCCUACACGAGAUCCGCCGGUUUUGACACCUACAUUGGUGCUUUCAUUGAGAGUUCCUCUGUGUCGUUGCUACAAGGCUCGAUGGCUCCUUCAAUCAUCAACAACAACUCGGUCCAGGGUGAGACUUUUCCCCCCGGACAGAUCUUCGUGUUCGGCGGCUUCACACUGCGGGCCAAUUCGCUUGGCCAUCUGUAGCAGAUCGACGGCUACGCCCCCGGCCAUCAGGUCAGGUUUGGAAACUUGAACUACACGGACGAUAUCCGCGGAGACUUGAUCUUUGACGGAUUUGGGCCUACUCCAGGAGCGUCGAACAGUCACGACGAGCACGGCUUAGAACUGCUGUCUGACAAUAUCUGGUUAUCGCACCUGCAAGAUCCUCGGACCUAAAUUCGGGGCAAAUUGCGUCAUCCGAGGACGGGUGGAUAGACCCCUCCCCGGAGGCCACACGCUCAUCGGCGGUAGAGCCGAGCACCGGCUUCACCCCUAAGGAAGCUGGUGACACCGGACCCCUGGACUCGUGUCCGGUUGUAGGCUCCAGUCCAUGCACCCCCGAGUCCGCAGAAUUUGGUUGGGCUCCGGUAAUGGAGUUCACCGCUGUGGAUAUCUUCUAGUACUCGCCCUUUGGCGAUAUGCUAAACUCGUUAAGGUCUCUCUCUUUGUCAGAAGACUCUUGGCUGAACUAUGUCCGGAUCGAGUGGGAAGCGGGCGACGAAGGAAUUCGUUGCCCACCCACCACCCACUUCAUAGCCACGGUCGAUGAUUUGACCGACGUGCUUGAUUUCGACUCUGAAGACAUCGACGGUGUGGACGAUGAUGUAGGAGAAGAACAGGAACCACCACCCACGGGGUGGUGGAUAGCCACCUCCUUAUAUGAUAUAUAUGGUGGACACUCUGAAAGAAACCAAUGGCGAUGAGGCAAUGGAGGAUAACCCCUCAAGGAAGAAAGCAAAGCAUGGGCGUCGUCAGUGCCGCUCCGAGCCCGGCCACAGCAAUACCGGCACAGGAGACGAAAACAAUCCGGAUGGUGCCGAAGAUGAAUACAACCCCGAUCAGCCUGCCUUCAUGCAGGCCGAACAGGAAGACGUGCAGGUCAGCCCACACGAACAGGCGAUGGACGGAUACCCGGAGGAGGAAAACUACAUGCCUCCUCCGAAGACGAGAUUAGCCUCGGCAACGACGAGUUCGGCGUGCCUGAGGACCCCGCAGAGCAGGAGCACUUCAAGUGCCGGUUUAUGGCCACUGCGAGGAGCCUGAAAAAGAAGCAGCAACAGCUCCAAGAUGAUCAAGACCUGCUCACAGAUAGAUGGACGGAAGUCCUGGCAGCCGAGGAAUAUGGACUCGAGCGCCACACGGCUGACCAUCCACCUCGUAUCCGGGAUAAAACGGCGUAUCAGCCCGAAUACCAGCCCGCACCCCUAUGCCAAUACACUACGGCCCGGGGCAAUAGGCAGGACAUGCAAGACAUACUAGAAAACAAGGCAGGACAACCAAGAUCGAUCUACGGAUCGCGAGGGCACGCCCCAACACGUGACGACGAUCGUCAUGCCAGAUACAUUAUCAACAAGUCCGGCCGGGCCGAACACAGUCAACUAGACUCAUUCGAACUGCGUAACCACAUAGCCCGGCAUAGAGGCGCCGCACACCCUCUCUGCUUCAUUGAUGAAGUGAUGGAUCAUGAAUUCCCAGAAGGGUUUAAACCCGUAAACAUUGAAUCAUACGAUGGCACAACAGACCCCGCAGUAUGGAUCGAAGAUUUCCCUCUCCACAUUCACAUGGCCCACGGUAAUGAUCUACACGCCAUAAAGUAUCUUCCCCUUAAGCUCAAAGGACCAGCCCGGCACUGGCUAAAUAGUCUGCCGGUAAAUUCCGUCGGCAGUUGGGAAAACCUGGAGGACGCUUUCCUCGACAACUUCCAGGGCACAUACGUGCGACCACCAGAUGCUGAUGACUUGAGCCACAUCACCCAACAGCCUGGAGAGUCAGCUAGAAAAUUCUGGAAUCGGUUCCUAACUAAAAAGAACCAAAUUGUCGACUGUCCGGACGCCGAAGCCUUGGCGGCCUUUAAGCAUAAUAUCCGCGACGACUGGCUCGCCCGACACCUCGGCCAGAAAAACCAAAAUCCAUGGCGGCUCUCAUGACACUCAUGAUACGCUUUUGCGCAGGCGAGGACAGCUGGUUGGCUCGCAUUAGCACCAUGCCAAUAAACUCCGGCACUUCAGACGUCCGCGAUAAUAACGGCAAGCCACGGCGCAACAGACAUAAGCGUCGGAACAAUGGCGACAACACUGAAGACACGGCAGUCAACGCCGGAUUUAGUGGCUCAAAAUCCGGACAGCGGAAAAAGCCGUUCAAAAGAAACAAUCAGGGACCGUCCAUUCUGGACCGCAUACUUGAUCGCUGAUGCCAAAUUCACGGCACCCCGGACAAGCCUGCAAACCACACUAAUAGAGACUGCUAGGUGUUCAAACAGGCCGGUAAGAUAAAUGCCGAAAACAAGGGCAAGGGGUUGCACAGCGACGAUGACGAAGAGCCCCGGCGUCCAAACAAGGGGGGACAGAAGAAAUUUCCUCCCCAGGUGAAAACGGUCAACAUGAUCUACGCCACCCACAUUCCCAAAUGGGAACGAAAGCGAGCACUGAGGGACAUCUAUGCGAUGGAGCCGGUCGCCCCAAAGUUCAACCCAUGGUCAGCCUGUCCGAUCACCUUUGAUCGUAGGGAUCACCCUACCAGCAUCCGUCACGGCAGUUCAGCCGCAUUGGUCCUAGACCCAAUCAUUGACGGAUUGCACCUCACACGAGUCCUUACGGACGGCGGCAGUAGCCUGAACCUGCUUUAUCAGGACACAGUGCGCAAAAUGGGCAUCGACCCUUCAAGGAUCAAGCCCACCAAAACUACCUUUAAAGGUGUAAUUCCAGGGUAGAGGCCCGUUGCACAGGAUCCAUAACACUGGAGGUGGUCUUUGGAUCUCCGGAUAACUUCCGAAGCGAGGAGUUAAUCUUUGAUAUCGUGCCUUUCGGUAGCGGCAAUCAUGCAUUGCUUGGACGAACUGCAUUCGCUCGGUUUAAUGCGGUACCACACUAUGCAUACCUUAAGCUCAAGAUGCCAGGACCUCGCGGGUCAUAACAGUCAACGGAAACACGGACCGCUCUCUCCGUACAGAAGAGCAUACUACAGCCCUCGCGGCAAAAGUACAAAGCAGCUUUCUCCGGCAAACCACCAACCCGGCGACAACAACUCCGAACACCGUCAAGCGAGUUCGAAGUACCCCGCAACAGGAUCGCCAGGCACACCAAGAGUGCGACUAGCAGUCCGACCUCCGCUCCAGCCCCAUUAAGGCAGCAUUCGUACCGCGUGUACAUAAUUAUGCACUCAAAAUACCAUGGGCAUAGGCGGAGGAGCAAUAGUGGCGCAGUCAACAGUGCGGUUUAGCUGCAACAUACUUUAAUAACCCCCUUUAUCUUUCAGGACCCUGCUUCCGGGCAGCCUCUUCAAAAGAGCCGGAUUAUCGGACUUCCACUGGAGAGAAAUCCAACGAGGCAAAAGGCUUUGCGCACAAAGGGAAUACCCAGGUGGAAUCUAUUCAUGAUCGUUAUUCCUGUUUUAUAUACCUACAUGCGGCCCGCACUUGGAUAGGACAUGUCAAAUAGUCCUAUUUACCUUUGCUUAACGCAUUCAUUGUAAACAUACGCUUAGACGUAUUAUUCAUCAAUGAGAGAUUAUAUAUAACGUCAGCUUAUUAUUCCUAUCUGCACAUUUUUCAUAUAAAUGUUUAUUUACUAUUGCAUCUGUACACCCUGGUACGUUCAGUUUGCCAGGGGCUUCUUACGAUGCCCCUUAAUACGGCAAGAUUAGCCCGCACACUUUUGACAGUGCGGCACCCCGAACUUAUAGCAUUAUAUGCAUCAGCUCCGAAUCAUGUCUUGGGUCAAUAGUUGGGUUAGCCCGGCUCCCUUGUUUUGGUACCUUACGUUCCGUUAUAUCGUCUAAGGUAACGCAGGGAGAACUACUACGAUUGUGUCCCGGUUCUUCCGCACGAGCACCUCAAUAGAGAAAGCCGAAAACUGACCGGCAUGAUGCGGCGAGAGCUGGUCGCUGUUCGAGAGGUCUUAAAAUCCUUAAAGAUUUUUCCACUUUAGGCAAGGAAUCGGCCUCAUCCGAUUUAGGCGUAUAUAGCGCCCCAAUUGGGCAUUCCGAAUUCCAGGGGCUUCGCCGAAAUUUAAAAUUGUAGACUUCUAUGGCUAAGUGAAAGUUAUAAAGCCGCAUAGUCCGAUUGCCUUGUUCUUUGAGCCAAACACCUCCUUCAGGGACCAAAUAUUUGGAUAAAGAGUGUUUGGGUUUUCCACGAACACCCCAGUACUAGUUACGUGGGGGCGGAAGCCGACGACUGGCCUACUUUCAGAAUUUUAUAAACAGCCGCAUAGAAGGUAAUAUUUUAAAUCAACAAAGCGCUAUAUAGCGCAAAUAACUUCGUCUUUAUAUUACAAAAACAAUAGGAGUACAUUCACUCAAAGAUUGUGUCCUUUGUACAUUCAUCGGCCACGAGGCGAGCGCCUUUCAUAAUGCCAUCAUAAUAUUUCUCGGGAUAGCGAUGCGCCUUGCCCUCUGGUGGUCCAUCCUUCACCAGCUUCUCCGGAUCGAGCUUGCCCAAUGCACCUUCGCAUGGGCAAAGGCUUGGCGGGCACCCUCAAUGCAAACGGAUCACUUGAUCACUUCCAGCCGUGGACAGGCAUUUACCAUCCGCUUUAUCAGGCCGAAGUAGCUGGCGGGCAGGGGCUCACCAGGCCACAUCCGGACUAUGAAAUCCUUCAUAACCACUUCGGCCGCCCUGUGGAGUACAACCAGUUGCUUUAAUUGGUCACACAGAGGCAUCGGGUGUUCGCCUCUAGCAUACUGGGACCAGAACAACUUCUUCGUUGAGCUCCCCUCUUUGGCACGGUAGAACUUCACGCCAUCCGAUAUGCUGCGUGGUAGAUCUGCGAAUGCCCCUGGGGAGCUCCGAAUUCGGGUAAGUAAAAGAAACACCUCCUCCACAUGCUUGCUUUGCAUAAAGAAUGUCUUACCCGCCGCUAUGUUCUUGGCCGCCUGGAUUUCUUGCUGGGCCUUUUCGGCUUCGGCCUUGGCAUCUUUCAUGCUCAAAAGGGCCUUCGCAAGUUCAGACUCCUUCGUCUUGAAGUCACGCUCCAAGGACUCUAACUUCUUGCCGAGCUCCUGGAGCUCUUGCUAUACCUCGCCCACCCUAGCAUUUUUCUUUUCACACUCAAUGGGCUCCAUGGCCGCCUUGUUUUCGGCCUCGGAUAGUGCUUUCUUCAGGGACGCCGCUUCGAUCGUAGCCCCUAUUGCAAAAUCAUGACGUUUUUUUAGUGUCACCAAUUUUUAUUCUUUGUAUGUGAACGGGGUAUCACUCACCUUUGUUCUCUUCGAGAUGCCUCUUCAUGAGGCUGAGCUCUCCCUGGGCCUGCUCCAGGUCCCGCUUGAGUCCGGAGAACUCUGCCGUGCGGGUAGCAGCGGCAAGAAGCACCUCCUGCUUAGUCACAUAGACACCUAAUAUUAGACUCCUGCGGAUUAAAAUUGACCCUCCAUUUGGCAUUUCUUUCCGAACACCAAAUAGAGUGUCAGGGGCUACUAUCUAUCGGGUGAUAAUUUCACACACUUUUGAUUACUUACCUCAAAGCCUGUUAGGAGGCUGGUGCUCCAGGAGCCUUCUGAAUCACCGCACUCAUAAGAGUACGGUUCUCGUCACCCAUGGAAGCGCUGUGAAGCGCUUCCGGCAGACUAUCCGACGCUUCUGGCAUAAUGAAAGUCAUGGGCACCGACGGCCCGCCCUCCUUAGCAAGGGCCGGCCUACCCGAAUCCGGAACCUUUGGAGGUUCUGGUGCAGUGUCCGGCUGGGAGCCCGACUUACUGCGGCUCCCAUCGGCACAAUAUGCAGAGAUCUUGCGCCACGUGUGCCCGGCGUCUGGAAUUUCGCCUUGGGGUGCCUCUAGAGUCGCCUACCCUUGCUCAAGGAACCUUUGGGACAACACCUCCGUGUCAUCUGCAGGCUGAGGGGAAGUGGCCGUUGGGAGCGAAUUCAUCGCCGAAUCGCUCAAAGACCUAUCCGAAGAGGAUACCUCAGGAUGGGCCCUGGCCGGACUGCAUAUGCGUGUUCGGUGUUAUAACGGACUAUGAAGUGAAGUCGCACUAAAGUACAACGGAAGUGCGGAUACUUACGAUCUUACUAGGGGCUUCCCCCUGGACAGCCACUCCUCCUCGCUGCAGGCUGCCGAGGCAGAGUAAUCCGGGAGGGACGUCUUUCCCUUCUUGGGUGCCCUAGCCUCCCCCUCCGGGGCGGCUUUCCUUUUCUUCUCCUCCCUAGUGCGGGGAGGUGGAAUUUCUUCNNNNNNNNNNNNNNNNNNNNNNNNNNNNNNNNNNNNNNNNNNNNNNNNNNNNNNNNNNNNNNNNNNNNNNNNNNNNNNNNNNNNNNNNNNNNNNNNNNNNNNNNNNNNNNNNNNNNNNNNNNNNNNNNNNNNNNNNNNNNNNNNNNNNNNNNNNNNNNNNNNNNNNNNNNNNNNNNNNNNNNNNNNNNNNNNNNCCUCCGCGGGAGGAAUCUGCCUCGUCGUCCUCGGACGACGAGCCUAUGACGGCCUUGUGCCGGGGACCUUUCCUGGUCCCUUGGGCCGCCCUCUUAGGGCCUUCGGCCUCCCCGGAUGGGGCAGCCCUUUCCUUCUCCUUCUGCUCCUCCCCUUCGUGGGAGGAGUGUGCCUUGUCGUCUUCGGACGAGGCGUCCGGUAUGACCUUACGCCGGAGACCCUUCCUGGUCCCCGGGGCCUUCUUUUCGGCCUUCUUUUCCGGCGCCUUGUAGGAUCCGGGACUAGCAUCUCCGUCAGGAGAGCGGUCGCCGCACCUUCUGGCAGUGGAGCCGGACAGUCGAUCUGCUCCGCCGUCUCCACGUACUCCUGAUUAAGUACACACGAUGACUUAAAAUCCUCCCAUGAGUAUGCUGGGAAAACUACAUCUGGUGAUGGUUAGAAAACUCACCGGACUGGGGGACCGUGCGGCGUGGAGUCUGCUGUCCUCGGACAUGGGAGGAGGUAUUUCGGAGGCCUUGAACAUCACCUGCCAUGCGUCCUUCUGUGUCGUGCCGUAGAGCUCUUGAAGUGUCUGGUGUUCGGCCGGGACGAACUCCCACAGAUUGAAAGCCCGUCGUUGGCACGGAAGGAUUCGGCAGACGAGCAUGACCUGGACCAUGUUGACAAGCUUGAUUUUCUUGUCAAUCAUAUUCUUGAUGCAGUUCUGAAGUCCGGUCAGCUCCGCGGGCUCUCCCCAGGCCAGGCCUUUCUUUUCCCAGGAGGUGAGCCGCAUGGGAAUUCCGUAUCGGAAUUCGGGGGCCGCCACCCAGUUGGCGUCGUGCGGCUCGGUGAUGUAGAACCACCCCGAUUGCCACCCUUUCAUGGUCUCCGCGAAGGAGCCAUCAAGCCAGGUGACGUUGGGCAUCUUGCCCACCACGACGCCUACGCACUCCGCUUGCUGGCCGCUCACGAUAAUCGGCUUCAUGCAGAAGAUUCGUAGCCACAAGCCAAAGUGAGGCUUGAUACGGAGGAAGGCCUCGCACACGACGAUGAACGCCGAGAUGUUGAGGACGAAGUUUGGGGCUAGAUCAUGGAAGUCCAGCCCAUAGUAAAACAUAAGCCCGCGGACGAAGGGAUGAAGUGGAAAUCCCAGUCCACGGAUGAAGUGGGCAAGGAACACGACAAUCUCGUGGGGUCCUGGAGUCGGAAUGAUCUGCCCUGCAUCCGGCAGCCGGUGCGCAAUAUCUGCGGCCAAGAAUCCGGCUGCCCGGAGCUUCGUGAUAUGCUCCUCCUUCAUGGUCGAGGCCACCCACUUGCCCCCUACUUCGGACAUGUUUGUCUAUGCGGAGAAGGUGUGAACUAGGGCGCUGGAGCUCGAGGGUACGAGAAUGGAUAAGCAGAGGAGGAACAAGGCGUGGGUAAAAAUGGGGAAAUCCGUAUCCCUUUAUAGAGGCGACGAAAAUGGUGCGCCUCCCCACUUGCCCAUUGAAGAUCGCUUAUUUACCAAGCGCCGCGAUUGAUGGUGCGGUUGGGUUACCCAUACCCGUAUUGAUGGGAAUCCCGUGAUAAGGGGACAUGAUCUCUGCUUCAACAAGACGUGUCGAGGAAACCUCUUCGCAAUAUGCGUUGUGGCUGGUUGUGGGAAAACGGUUCAAAUAAUUACUCGACCGUAGUGUCAUGUCACGUCAUCAGUAGUCGUCAGUAGAUUACAUUUGUGGAAUAUCGUUCUCUCUACGAUGGUAUGUGAAGAUCAUCAUGCGGAUCCAGACAGGAUUUAAGUGUUCGAUAGUUACUUUGGAGUAUUCGGAGAUGGAAACCGCCUUGCAAUGCCGAAGACAAACUGCGCGCCGGACUCAUCGUCAUUGAAGCCUGGUUCAGGGGCUACUGAGGGAGUCCUGGAUUAGGGGGUAUCCGGACAACCGGACUAUAUACUUUGACCGGACUGUUGGACCGUGAAGAUACAAGACUCAAGACUUCGUUCCGUGUCUGGAUGGGACUCUCCUUUGCGUGGAAGACAAGCUUGGCGAUCCGGAUAUUAGAUUUCCUUCUUUGUAACCGACUCUGUGUAAACCCUAGCCCCCUCCGGUGUCUAUAUAAACCGGAGGGUUUGGUCCGUAUAGGGACAAUCACAACAAUCAUAAUCAUCAUAGGCUAGCUUCUAGGGUUUAGCCUCUACGAUCUCAUGGUAGAUUAACUCUUGUAAUACUCAUAUCAUCAAGAUCAAUCAAGUAGGAAAUAGGAUUUUACCUCCAUCGAGAGGGCCCGAACCUGGGUAAAACAUUGUUUCCCUUGCCUCCUGUUACCAUUAGCCUUAGACGCACAGAUCGGGACCCCCUACCCGAGAUCCGCCGGUUUUGACACCGACAGCUGGCAUGGAAGAAUCCGGCGAAAAAGCAUCACCUGGAUCACGCUGGGGAGGUUGGUCUUCUUGUUUAUCACGCCCUUGAUGCGGCUCUCCAGCGCUUUCACCUCAUCAGGUGAUUCCCAAUCUAGGCCCUUAUUAAGCCAGGAUGCACUACUAGGGAAAACCUUAUACACAUCAGCAUCUUAGCAAUAGCGCUGGACAAAACAGGGCGCUACUGCUACUUAGUAGUAGCGUGUUUAAAUAAACCGUGCUAGUGCUACUACUUUAGCAGUAGCGCGUGCUAGGAAAACACGUUGCUGCUAUGUUUGUACUGGGCGCAGAUGGGUAGCCCCACUUAGCAGUAGCGCGUAUCUGUGACCAGCGCUAGUGCUACGUCCCAUAGAGGUAGCGCGUAUCUUAGAAAUGCUCUACUACUUACUUACCUUAUCCUACACGCGCCCGACCCUCUCACUCACUCUGCCUCCACUCACUCUCGCCCGCGCCGAACCCGGCGUUCGCCGCCGCCGUGCUGCUCCUCCAUCGAGGUACUCCCUCUGUCCCUCCUCGUCCCUCCUCCCUUCUCCCUCCCUCCUCCCCCUCCUCCCCCGGCCGUCCUCCUACCACCGCCCCUCCCUCCUCCUCCGGCCGCCCCGUCGCUCCUCCUCCUCCGGUCGCCCCCUCCCCCUCCUCCCCCCUCCCACCUCCUUCUCCGGCCGCCCCUUCCCCUCCUCNNNNNNNNNNNNNNNNNNNNNNNNNNNNNNNNNNNNNNNNNNNNNNNNNNNNNNNNNNNNNNNNNNNNNNNNNNNNNNNNNNNNNNNNNNNNNNNNNNNNNNNNNNNNNNNNNNNNNNNNNNNNNNNNNNNNNNNNNNNNNNNNNNNNNNNNNNNNNNNNNNNNNNNNNNNNNNNNNNNNNNNNNNNNNNNNNNNNNNNNNNNNNNNNNNNNNNNNNNNNNNNNNNNNNNNNNNNNNNNNNNNNNNNNNNNNNNNNNNNNNNNNNNNNNNNNNNNNNNNNNNNNNNNNNNNNNNNNNNNNNNNNNNNNNNNNNNNNNNNNNNNNNNNNNNNNNNNNNNNNNNNNNNNNNNNNNNNNNNNNNNNNNNNNNNNNNNNNNNNNNNNNNNNNNNNNNNNNUCCCCCUCCUCCUCUCUCCUUCCUCCUCCCUUCCCCUCCUCCCUCCUUCUUUUUUUUCUGUUUUUUACUAUAGUUUUUUACUAUUGUAUAAUGUAGUUUUUUGUACUGUUUUUAGUAAGUGUUUAAAAUAACUGGUAAGUAAAUUAAUAAAACUAGUUGAACUAGUUUAUUUUUAGUAAGAACUAGUUGAAUUAAUAGAACUAAUGUAUUUUUAGUAAGAAAAUUAAUAUAACUAGUUGAACUAGUUUAUUUUUAGAAAGAACUAGUUUAGUUUUAUUUAUAGUAAGUUUAUUUUUAGUAAGAGCUAGUUGAAUUAAUAGAACUACUUGAACAUGUCACAUUUGUUGUUAUUUUUUUAGUUUAAGCAAUUAUUCCCGCAUCGACAUCGACGAUGCCUAUCCCACAUCCUCGUCGUCGAUACCCGUCGUUCGCUAGGGUUUUAGUUGUAUUAGUGAUGUUAUAUUUAUGAUACUAUUCGUGAUGUAUUAGUGAUAACUUAUAGGGUUUUGUUUUUGCUAAAAUCUAGGAGCCCCUCCAUCAUCCCCGCCGUCGUCCCCGUCACCGACCCCCUCCGACCUCGAGGUGAGACCAGCCAAAUCUCCAUGUCAAUAUGAGUCCUAUAAGAUAUGAUGUAGAUAAAAACAUGUAUAUCUUGUGUUGCUCAAAUCGGAUAUGUGGUUGCCCAAGUGGCCGGUCAUGUUUGCAGGUUACACCUUUGACUGGCCUAUGUUUUGCCGGACUGUUGAUUAAUUUCCGUUCCGGCAAAUUUUAGCACUCGAUAUGUCCUUUUUUUAGCAAAGGUCAUGCCAGAAUUUUCCAUGAAUUUUGGCAUGACUUGUGCUAGAAUAUGUAGGAAAUAUCGAGUGGCCUAGAUUUUCUAGAAAGAUAAUUAAAUGAUAUUUCGGGUUAACUUUAAGUCUGUCGAGGCCGAAGAAUCCCGACUGUUGUCGUGGGGGUUGUUUCUCCUUCUUCUCCUUGUGCUAGACCGUUGCUAUGCACUAGGGGAAGGAGGAGUAAUGACCAUCAUCGACGGUCACAAAUGUCAGAGAGGAAUCAGUGAGGGAGAAUCUCCACCAUAUAUGAGAGGACGAAGAAUCCCGACUGUUGUCAUGGGGGUAGCUUCUCCUUCGUUCCCGUGUGCUAGAAUUUGGUGUAAUGCACUUGGGAACGAAAGGAGGAGCUACCAUCACCGACGGUCGAAUAUAUACACCACGUGAGCUGAGAGUUUUCAAGAAAAGACUCGACGGGCCGAUAGCCAACCCGUGAUGAAUAAUAAUGAUCUAAUUUAGUUUUUGUAGUACAUAUAUUUAAUUGUACAAGUUUAAUCUUUGAAUUAUGAACAUAGGAAAUGUCGUCGAACGAAGAAGGUCCUGGAGAGUGCUCCUGGUGCGGCGACAACCGGGGUUUCUGCGACAGGACUCACCUGGACGAAGGUCGGCGCUUCAGCAUUAAGCUUGAGAAGGCCUUUGAUCGUGAUACGGUAAGCUACGAUGCAAAGUAUUUUUUUCAUAAUUAAGUUUGACUUCUACUACUUCAACAUGUAAUUUUCGCCUUUUACAAUUCGACUAGCUUAUCCCAUGCCAUGCAAGAUGCCAUGUCUUGGAGAGGAUGGGUUUUGAAGAUGAUGAGAGGAAUGAAACAAAAAAAUUAACCUAAGGACCCAUCAUGGUAUGGAUUUUGAGGUAAAUCUAUACAAUUCUGAGAGCGUAUCCCAUUUUGGUUGCCCAGGUUGGGAAGCACUUUGCAAGAUGUAUGAUUUUCAAGAGGGUAUGUUUUUCACCAUGGAUCUUGGUGAUCCUUGCAUCAACCAAGACAAUUUGGACAUUUGUGUCCUUGUUGAUACACUUCCAAUUCUACCGCUAUGUGAGUUUCUCAAUCAUAGUUAUUAAGUAAUUUGUAUUGUUUAUUUCAAAGUAGUUGACAGCUUAUUUCCAUUGAUAGCUUAUUUUCAUUCUUCAAAGAAUGUGCGGAAGAUGGUAGACAUAACCUACUACACUGAUGGUGAUAACCCACAAGUAUAGGGGAUCACAACAGUUUUCGAGGGUAGAGUAUUCAACCCAAAUUUAUUGAUUCGACACAAGGGGAGCCAAAGAAUAUUCUCAAGUAUUAGCACUUUAGUUCUCAAUUCAACCACACCUGGAUAACUUAGUAUCUGCAGCAAAGUAUUUAGUAGCAAAGUAGUAUGAUAGUAAUGGUAAUAGUGAUAAAAGUGACGAUAGCAGUUUUGUAGUAAUUGUAACAGUAGCAACGAAAAAGUAAAUAAGCGAAGCACAACAUGUGAAAAGCUCAUAGGCAUUGGAUCAGUGAUGGAUAAUUAUGUCGGAUGCAAUUCAUCAUGUAAUAGUUAUAACAUAAGGUGACACAGAACUAGCUCCAGUUCAUCAAUGUAAUGUAGGCAUGUAUUCCGAAUAUAGUCAUACGUGCUUAUGGAAAAGAACUUGCAUGUCAUCUUUUGUCCUACCCUCCCGUGGCAGCGGGGUCCUAAUGGAAACUAAGGGAUAUUAAGGCAUCCUUUUAAUAGAUUAUCGGACCAAAGCAUUAGCACUUAGUGAAUACAUGAACUCCUCAAACUACGGUCAUCACCGAGAAGUAUCGUGAUUAUUGUCACUUCGGGGUUGUCGGGUAAUAACACAUAAUAGGUGACUAUAGAGUUGCAAGAUAGGAUCAAGAACUCACAUAUAUUCAUGAAAACAUAAUAGGUUCAGAUCUGAAAUCAUGGCACUCGGGCCCUAGUGACAAGCAUUAAGCAUAGCAAAGUCAUAGCAACAUCAAUCUCAGAACAUAGUGGAUACUAGGGGAUCAAACCCUAACAAAACUAACUUGAUUACAUGGUACAUCUCAUCCAACCCAUCACCGUCUAGCAAGCCUACAAUGGAAUUACUCACGCACGGCGGUGAGCAUCAUGAAAUUGGUGAUGGAGGAUGGUUGAUGAAGACGACGGCGAUGAAUCCCCCUCUCCGGAGCCCCGAACGGACUCCACAUCAGCCCUCCCGAGAGAGAUUAGGGCUUGGCGGAGGCUCCGUAUCGUAAAACACGAUGAAACUUUCUCUCUGAUUUUUUUUCUCCGUGAAACGGAAUAUAUAGGGUUGGAGUUGAGGUCGGUGGAGUUCCAGGGAGCCCACAAGACAGGGGGGCGCGCCCAGGGGGAGGGGCGCGCCCCCAACUCUCGUGGACAGGGUGUGGGCCCCCUGGCCUUGAUUCUUUCGCCAGUAUUUUUUAUAUUUUCCAAAAGUUAUCUCCGUGGAUUUUCAGGUCAUUCCGAGAACUUCUGUUUUCUGCACAAUAAACAACACCAUGGCAGUUUUGCUGAAAAUAGCGUCAGUCCGGGUUAGUUUCAUUCAAAUGAUGCAAGUUAGAGUCCAAAACAAGGGCAAAAGUGUUUGGAAAAGUAGAUACGUUGGAGACGUAUCAACUCCCCCAAGCUUAAACCUUUGCUUGUCCUCAAGAAAUUCAGUUGAUAAACUGAAAGUGAUAAAGAAAAACUUUUACAAACUCUGUUUGCUCUUGUUGUUGUAAAUAUGUAAAGCCAGCAUUCAAGUUUUCAGCAAAGAUUAUGAACUAACCAUAUUCACAAUAACAUUUAGGUCUCAUAUUUACUCAUAUCAAUGGCUUAAUCACCUAGCGAGCAAUAAUAAUAAAACUCAGAUGAAAACACUUUCUCAAAACAAUCAUAAUAUGACAUAACAAGAUGGUAUCUCGCUAGCCCUUUCUGAGACCGCAAAACAUAAAUGCAGAGCACCUUUAAAGAUCAAGGACUGACUAAACAUUGUAAUUCAUGGUAAAAGAGAUCCAGUCAAGUCAUACCCAAUAUAAACUAAUAGUAAUGCAUGCAAAUGACAGAGUGCUCUCCAGCGGGUGCUUUUUAAUAAGAAGGUGACUCAACAAAAAGUAAAUAGAUAGGCCCUUCACAGAGGGAAGCAUGGAUUUGUAGAGGUGCCAGAGCUCGAUUUUAAAAUAUAGAUGAAUAACAUUUUGAGCGGCAUACUUUCAAUGUCAAUGCCACAACUAUGAGAUGUCAAUAUCUUCCAUGCUACAUACAUUAUAGGCGGUUCCCAAACAGAAUGGUAAAAGUUUAUACUCCCCCACCACCAACAAGCAUCAAUCCGUGGCUUGCUCGAAACAACGAGUGCCUCCAACUAGCAACAACCCUGGGGGAGUUUUGUUUAAUUAUUUCAAUUUGCUUUGAUCUUUUUGAUCAUGGGACCGGGCAUCCCGGUUAGCAGCCAUUUUCUCGUGAAUGAGGAGCGGAGUCCACUCCUCUUGAGAAUAACCCACCUAGCAUGUAAGAUACAGACAACCCUAGUUGAAACAUGAGAUGCUCAAGCAUACAAAACAGAAUUUCAUUUGAAGGUUUGGAGUUUGGCACAUACAAAUUUACUUGGAACGGCAGGUAAAUACCGCAUAUAGGAAGGUAUGGUGGACUCAUAUGGAAUAACUUUGGGGUUUAUGGAGUUUGGAUGCACAAGCAGUAUUCCCGCUUAGUACAGGUGAAGGCUAGCAAGAGACUGGGAAGCGACCAACUAAGAGAGCGACAACAGUCAUGAACAUGCAUUAAAAUUAAUCAACACCAGGUGCAAGCAUGAGUAGGAUAUAAUACACCAUGAACAUAAAUAUCGUGAAGGCUAUGUUGAUUUGUUUCAACUACAUGCGUGAACAUGUGCCAAGUCGAGUCACUCAAUUCAUUCAAAGGAGGAUACCACCCUAUCAUACCACAUCACAACCAUUUUAAUAGCAUGUUGGCACGCAAGGUAAACCAUUAUAAACUCCUAGCUAAUUAAGCAUGGCACAAGCAACUAUAAUCUCUAAUUGUCAUUGCAAACAUGUUUAUUCAUAAUAGGCUGAAUCAGGAAUGAUGAACUCAUCAUAUUUACAAAAACAAGAGAGGUCGAGUUCAUACCAGCUUCUCUCAUCUCAAUCAAUCAAUCAUAUAUCGUCAUUAUUGCCUUUCACUUGCAUGACCGAACGGUGUGUAAAAUAAUAAUAGUGCACGUGCAUUGGACUAAGCUGGAAUCUGCUAGCAUUCAAUUCGAGGGAGAAGACAAGGUAAUAUGGGCUCUAAGUUAAAUCAACAAUCAUGCAUAUGAGAGCCACUAAACAUUUUCAUUAUGGUCUUCUCCUCUUGACGCCCAAAGGAAAGAAAAGAAAUAAAACUAUUUACACGGGAAAGCUCCCAACAAGCAAAAGAAGAAUGAGAAAUCUUUUUGGGUUUUCAUUUAAUUACUACUACAAGCAUGGAAAGUAAACUAACUAAUUUUUUUAGUUUUUCUUAAAGUUUAUCAAACACACAAGAAGAAAGCUAGAAAAAUAAAUAAAUUAAACUAGCAUGGAUAAUACAAUGAAAGAGUAUGAGCACCGACAACUAGAAUAGUGUGUGAACAUGAAUGUAUAGUCGGUGUGAAAUACGUACUCCCCCAAGAUUAGGCUUUUGGCCUAAGGUGGUCUAAUGCCAAGGAUCGCUGCUACUCUCCCCGGUGUACUGAGGAGUGUCAUCUGGAUACCACUGACUAGCGAUCUCCUCCGGAUCCCACUGAUAACAGGAUGGACGAUAGGGGUCCAGUGGUGGUUCUGGCUCAGGCUCUGGAGCCGAUGUCUGACCUCGGUGUGCGUACACGGCCUUCGGCAAAAUGAGGUAAUGUCCUGCAGUUAAAUGAAACAAAGAAGGCGCAGGCAAGGUAAUAAUUUCAGUGUGUUUCUUAUUAAAUCUCAGGUUAUACAGAAGCAUCUUAUCAUCAUUGUCAAUAAUAAAUCCAUGCGCUACCAUGCUCCUGUAAUCUAAAAAGGUAGGGGGCAGUAGUGUCUCCUCUUUCUCAUAAUGCCUAAUAGGUAUCUCAAAAUGUUUAGCAAGGCGUGCAGCAUAGAUACCUCGAAAGAUGGGGCCCUUCGUAUGGUUUAGGCUUAACCGUUUAGCAAUAACGGCACCCAUACUAAAAGUGUUAUCACCGAAUAAGGCAUGGAGCAGGAUAAUAAUAUCAGGAACACUGAAGUUUCCACUAUUUCCACGACCAACUAAGCAUCGACUAGUAAAUAUGGAAAAGUAGCGUAAAACAGGAAAAUGUAUGCUAGUGAUUCUCGCAUCGAAACCCUUCCCCAAUUCCCCUACAGUAAUAGUGUCAAUAGAACCUUCCACAUCUUUACGAUGUGGUUCAUCUAAGCUGCCCUCAAAGGGUAUUCUACAAGCCGCGCAAAAAUUACAUAAUGACAUUUCCUUCGCCUCAUCAUAUAAAUGAAAGGCUACUGAAGUAGGUGAAUUCUUAGGAUAAUAGUAAAAGUUUUGCACGAAACUAUUGGUAAGUAAGAGAUACUAUUCGAUCCGGUCGUGGAGGAAGUCGGUGAGGCCCGCAUUUUCAGCCAAAGAAUAAAAGUCUUCAUAAAUCCCGACUGCUCUCAAGAAAUUAUCACAUGGCCACUCACAAGGCCGUACUUCCGCUACGCGAGGAAGAUUAUACAUGGCCUUUUCUUUCUCCUUAGGCUGUUUAUCCUUAGAGCUUUGACUAGAAGAGCCCCUCAAUAAUCUCCUCAUCAUUUUCUGAAAAUUUCUGAAAUUUUUAGUAACUUCAAAAUAAAAGUGAAUCAAACUAAACAAGAUUUAUAGAAACUACUCCCACAAGUGCCUAGAGCCUAUAUCAUGCAUUAGAAUUACUUGGGACCUCAUAAAUUUGACAUGCAAGCUCAAGAACAGGGUAACCUAUGCAGCAAAAAUUUGCAAUGAAUAAAGCACUAGAACAAUAAGUAAUUGGACCAAUGGAGGAGUCACAUACCAAGCAACAAUCUCCCAAAGUAGUUCUGCGAAUGGAGCUUUGGGCAAGGGGAUUGAAAAUCGCAGCAAAAUGAGCUAGGACUCGUGCUUGAGCUGGAUGGGGAUUUUUUUGGGAGGAAGAUGGAGUGUGUGGGUGCAGGAAUAAGUGGAGGGGGGCCAUCAUGGGCCCACGAGGCAGGGGGCGCGCCCAGGGGGAGUGGGCGCACCCUGGACCCUCGUGGCCACGUGCUUGCCCCCUGCUGUGUUCUCAGUGCCUAAAAUCCUCAAAUAUUCCAUAAAAAUCAUACUAAAAUUGCAGGGCAUUUGGAGAACUUUUUAUUUUUGGGAUAUUUUUAUUGCAUUGAUAAUUCAGAAAAUAGACUGAUAAUACUAUUUUUGCUUUAUUUAUUCUAAAUAACAGAAAGUAAAAAGAGAGUACAGAAGGUUGUGCCUUCUAGUUUCAUCCAUCUCAUGAUCAUCAAAAGGAAUCCACUAACAAGGUUGAUCAAGUCUUGUUAACAAACUCAUUCCGAAUAACAUGGAACCGGAGAAAUUUCGAAUAACACUAGGUUACCUCAACGGGGAUAUGAACAUCCCCAAUAAUAAGAAUAUCAUAUUUUUUCUUGACAGUAGGGAGAGGAAAUUCAAAACCUCCAAUAAUGAUAGUUGGAAUUUUUCCAAUAGAAUUGAUACUAUGAACUUGAGGUUGUUUCCUCGGAAAGUGUACCGUAUGCUCAUUACCAUUAACAUGAAAAGUGGCAUUGCCUUUCUUGCAAUCAAUAACAGCCCCUGCAGUAUUCAAAAAGGGUCUACCAAGGAUAAUCGACAUACUAUCGUCCUCGGGAAUAUCAAGAAUAACAAAGUCCGUUAAGAUAGUGAGAUUUGCAACCACAACAGGCACAUCCUCACAAAUACCGAUAGGUAUAGCAGUUAAUUUAUUAGCCAUUUGCAAAGAUAUUUCAAUAGGUGUCAACUUAUUCAAUUCAAGUCUACGAUAUAAAGAGAGAGGCAUAACACUAACACCGGCUCCAAGAUCACAUAAAGCAGUUUUAAUAUAGUUACUUUUAAUGGAGCAUGGUAUAGUUGGUACUCCUGGAUCUCCAAGUUUCUUUGGUAUUCCACCCUUAAAAGUAUAAUUAGCAAGCAUGGUGGAGAUUUCAUCUUCCGGUAUCUUUCUUUUAUUUGUAAUGAUAUCCUUAGUAUAAUUAGCAUAGGUAUUUACUUUAAGCAUAUCAGUAAGCGUAUACGUAAGAAGAUAGGUCUAAUCAUUUCAGCAAAGCACUCAAAAUCCUCAUCAUCCUUUGUCUUGGAUGGUUUAGGAGGAAAAGGCAUGGGUUUCUAAACCCAUGGUUCUCUUUCUUUACCGUGCUUCCUAGCAACAAAGUCUCUUUUCUCAUAACGUUGAUUCUUUGAUUGUGGGUUAUCAAGAUCAACAACAGGUUCAAUCUCUACAUCAUUAUUAUUGUUAGGUUGAGCAUCAACAUAAACAUUAUCAUUAGGUUCAUGUUCAUCACCUGAUUGUGUUUCAGCAUCAGAAACAGAAAUAUCAUUGGGAUUCUCAUGUGUGUCUACAACAGGUUCACUAGAAGCAUGCAAAGUCCUAUCAUUUUUUUUCUUUUUAGAAGGACUAGGUGCAUCUAAAUUAUUUCUUUGAGAAUCCUGCUUGAUUCUCUUAGGGUGGCCUUCAGGAUACAAAGGUUCUUGAGUCAUUCUACCAGUUCUAGUAGCCACUCUAACGGCAAAGUCAUGUUUAUUAUUUAAUUCCUCGAGCAAAUCACUUUGAGCUUUAAGUACGUACUUGUUCUGCUUCAGUGGUAACCAUAGAAGCAUAUUUGCUAAUGAGUUUAAGUUCACCUUUAACUCUAGCCAUGUAAUCACUCAAACGUCCUCUCAUGAAAGCAUUACUCUUUAACUCUCUACCAACAUAAGCAUUAAAACUUUCUUGUCUAGCCAUAAAAUCAUCAAAUUCAUCUAAACAUUGGCUAGGAAAUUUAGUAGACGGGAUAUCAACCUUAUCAUAUCUAUGGAGAGAAUUUACCUUUACUACAUGUGUCGAGUUAUCAAGACAAUGUGUUUCUUCAACAGGUGGUAUAUUAAGACCAUGUAUUUCUUCAAUAGGAGGUAAAUUCUUAACAUCUUCAGCUUUAAUACCUUUUUCUUUCAUUGAUUUCUUUGCCUCUUGCAUAUCUUCAGGACUGAGAAAUAGAACUCCCCUCUUCUUCGGAGUUGGUUUAGGAAUAGGCUCAGGAGUUGGCUCAAUUGGCUCAAGAAUUGGCUCAGGAAGAGUCCAAUUAUUUUCAUUAGUCAACAUAUUAUUCAAUAACAAUUCAGCUUGGUCGACUGUUCUUUCCCUGAAAACACAACCAGCACAAUUAUCCAAGUGGUCCUUGGAAGCAUCGGUUAGUCCAUUAUAAAAGAUAUCAAGUAUUUCAUUUUUCUUAAGAGGAUGAUCAGGCAAAGCAUUAAGUAAUCGGAGAAGCCUCCCCCAAGCUUGUGGGAUACUCACUUCUUCGAUUUGCACAAAAUUAUAUAUUUCCUGCAAGGCAGCUUGUUUCUUAUUAGCAGGGAAAUAUUUAGCAGAGAAGUAAUAAAUCAUAUCCUGGGGACUACGCACACAACCAGGAUCAAGAGAAUUAAACCAAGUUUUAGCAUCACCCUUUAAUGAGAAUGGAAAUAUCUUAAGGAUAUAAUAAUAGCGAGACUUCUCAUCAUUAGUAAAUAGGGUGGCUAUAUCAUUUAACUUGGUAAGAUGUGCCACAACAGUUUCAGAUUCAUAGCCAUAAAAAGGAUCAGAUUCAACCAAAGUAAUUAUCUCAGGAUCAACAGAGAAUUCAUAAUCCUUAUCAGUAACAAAGAUAGUCGAAGUAGCAAAAGCAGGGUGAUAUUUCAUUCUAGCAUUCAGAGUUUUCUGUUUAAGUUUAGCUAGUAACUUCUUAAGAUCAGAUCUAUCAUUGCAAGCAAAAAGAUCUCUAGCAGUUUCUUCAUCCAUAACAUAACCCUCAAGAACAACAUGCAAUUCAUACUUAGGGGGAGAACCUUCAUCAUCACUAUCAUCAAUAAUUUCAUCUUCAAUAACUUCAUUCUCUCUAACCCUAGCAAGUUGUUCAUCAAGAUAUUCACCUAAUGUCACAGUAGUAUCAAGCAUAGAAGUAGUUUCAUCAUAAGUAUCAUGCAUAGCAGAAGUGGCAUCAUCAAUAACAUGCGACAUAUCAGAAUUCAUACCAGUAACAGGUUUAGGUGUCGCAAGUUUACUCAAAACAGAAGGAGAAUCUAGUGCAGAGCUAGAUGGCAGUUCCUUACCUCCCCUCGUAGUUGAGGGAAAAAUCUUAGUUCUUUCGUCUUUCAAGUUCCUCAUAGUGAUCAGCAGAUAUAAAUUCCAAGUGACUCAAAGAAUAGAGCUAUGCUCCCCGGCAACGGUGCCAGAAAAUAGUCUUGAUAACCCACAAGUAUAGGGGAUCGCAACAGUUUUCGAGGGUAGAGUAUUCAAUCCAAAUUUAUUGAUUCGACACAAGGGGAGCCAAAGAAUAUUCUCAAGUAUUAGCAGUUGAGUUGUCAAUUCAACCACACCUGGAUAACUUAGUAUCUGUAGCAAAGUAUUUAGUAGCAAAGUAGUAUGAUACUAAUGGUAACAAUGAUAAAAGUGACGAUAGCAGUUUUGUAGCAAUUGUAAUAGUAGCAACGGAAAAGUAAAUAAGAGAAGCACAAUAUGUGAAAAGCUCGUAGGCAUUGGAUCAGUGAUGGAUAAUUAUGUCGGAUGCAAUUCAUCAUGUAAUAGUUAUAACAUAGGGUGACACAGAACUAGCUCUAGUUCAUCAAUGUAAUGUAGGCAUGUAUUCCGAAUAUAGUCAUACGUGCUUAUGGAAAAGAACUUGCAUGACAUCUUUUGUCCUACCCUCCCGUGGCAGCGGGGUCCUAAUGGAAAAUAAGGGACAUUAAGGCCUCCUUUUAAUAGAGUACAGGACCAAAGCAAUAGCACUUAGUGAAUACAUGAACUCCUCAAACUACGGUCAUCACCGAGAAGUAUCCCGAUUAUUGUCACUUCGGGGUUGUCGGGUCAUAACACAUAAUAGGUGACUAUAGAGUUGCAAGAUAGGAUCAAGAACUCACAUAUAUUCAUGAAAACAUAAUAGGUUCAGAUAUGAAAUCAUGGCACUCGGGCCCUACUGACAAGCAUUAAGCAUAGCAAAGUCAUAGCAACAUCAAUCUCAGAACAUAGUGGAUACUAGGGAUCAAACCCUAACAAAACUAACUUGAUCACAUUGUAAAUCUCAUCCAACCCAUCACCAUCCAGCAAGCCUACGAUGGAAUUACUCACGCAUGGCGAUUAGCAUCAUGAAAUUGGUGAUGGAGGAUGGUUAAUGAUGAUGACGGCGACGAAUCCCCCUCUCCGGAGCCCCGAACGGACUCCAGAUCAGCCCUCCCAAGAGAGAUUAGGGCUUGGCGGCGGAUCCGUAUUGUAAAACGCGAUGAAACUUUCUCUCUGAUUUUUCUCUUUGUGAAACGAAAUAUAUAGAGUUGGAGUUGAGGUCGGUGGAGCUCCAGGGGGCCCACGAGACAGGGGGCGCGCCCAGGGGGAGGGUGCACGCCCCCCACCCUCGUGGACAGGGUGUGGGCCCCCUUGCCUUGAUUCUUUCGCCAGUAUUUUUUAUAUUUUCCAAAAGUUAUCUCCAUGGAUUUUCAGGUCAUUCUGAGAACUUUUGUUUUCUGCAUAAUAAACAACACCAUGGCAGUUCUACUGAAAAUAGCGUCAGUUCGGGUUAGUUUCAUUCAAAUCAUGCAAGUUAGGGUCCAAAACAAGGGCAAAAGUGUUUGGAAAAGUAGAUACGUUGGAGACGUAUCAGAUGGCUCUGAGUUAAGUUAUCAGGAGAAAAAUCAUCUGGUCGCAUAUUGUACUGAAUUUGAGAAUUACAAUGCCUAUUAUCGAACUCCUCCACAUUAUGGUCAAUACGUGCCACUAGUGCAUGUGUUGAACCAUGAUAACUUCCAUGGAGAUGCCCUGGUAAGAUUUUUUACUAUUAUGACAUCCGUGCAUCUUUUGCAUACUUCUAAAACUGAACUACAUUGCUAACUACGAAGUUAUUACUAUGACUUUCAAUAGAAAAUCCCAAUGGAUUGUGUACCUCAUUUGAUGUAUCAGAAUGGUCGCCUUGAUGUUUUGAACAUACAGCUAGGUCGUCCUACGAAUCUCACCUGUCCAUACCGGAUUUCUAAAACCGGUGAACACACGAUAAUCAAUGAAUCAAAAAAAAGUAUGAACAGUCGUAAGGAGGUUCUUGGAAGCAACAUUGUGCGAAAGGCAAGAAUUGGAGAUAGGAUAAUCUCCAUUCUCCGUAAUGUAGAGUCAGGGGCUAUCUUGUUUUAUGCUAUUUUACCUAAGAGAAUAUAGUAGGUCCUAAGAGAAUGUAAUAGGUCCUAUGAGGUACAAUAUGUUAAAGAGAGUUGAUGAUGAGGAGUAGUUGUGAUUAUGACUAGUGACCAACUUGUAUGUGAUGUCUCAUUGAUGAAAACGAUGAUCAUGAGGAGGUGUUAUAUGACAAUGAUGUAUUACGAUGAUAAGUUGUUAAUGAUAUGAUGAUGAUAAUGAUGAUGAUGAUGAUGAUGAUGAUGAUGAUGAUGAUGAUGAUAUUUAUUAUAUCAUUGGGUGAAAGAACCGCGGAUUAGUUUCAAGUGGAUGUCCAUCCACUUGAAACUAGUCAACGAUUCUUUCUCCCAGUAAUGUAAUAACUCAUUAUGAUGUAAAAACAAUAUCUAAAUUGCUGCGGUAUGAAAACUUGUAUAAAGGUGUAUGAAUACAACAUGAAAUAAAAAAGAACUAAAAUACAGAAUAAUAUUAGUAGCGCAUGCUCGGAGAAGCGCUACUACUAAUUACUAGUAGCUCUCAUUGUAGAAAGCGCUACUACUAAGUCGAUAUAGCACUAGCAUGGUCCAACCCAUGCUACUACUAACCUUUAGCUGUAGCGCCUUACUAGUAGCGCGGUUCCCCGCGCUACUGAUAGGCAUUAAACACGCGCUACUGCUAGGGUUUUCCCUAGUAGUGACGUAAGCCGCAUUGGGGGCCCGGAUUUAAACUCGGGAGCGGCAGCCCAUGUGGCAUCACGGGGCUCUGUGAUAUAGAACCAGCCCUGCUGCCAUCCUUUGACGCUCUCCACGAAGGUCCCUGUUGGCCAAUUGACGUUGGGGAGCUUGCUCACCAUGGCACCGCCGCACUCUACAUGUUGGCCCUCGACCACCUUCGGCUUCACGUUGAAGACCUUGAGCCAUAGACCAAAGUGGGGAGGGAUGCAGAGGAAUGCCUCACACAUAAUGAUAAACACCGAGAGGUUGAGGAAAGAAUUUGGGGCUAGAUCAUGAAAAUCUAGCCCGUAGUAGAACAUAAGACCGCGGACAAAAGGAUGAAGGUGAAACCCUAGUCCGCAAAGGAAAUGGGGGAUAAAAACUACCCUUUCGUUAGGCUCUGGAGUGGGGAUGAUCUGCCUUUUGGCAGGAAGCUAGUGAACUAUGUCUGUGGCUAGGUACCCAGCUUCUCGGAGCUCUGUGAUGUUCUCCUGUGUAACAGAGGAGGCCAUCCACUUGCCCUGUGCUCCAGAUCCAGACAUGGCUAGGAGUGCUUGGGGGCAAAGGAAAGUACUGAGACUUGGGCGUUGGAGCUCGAGUGGCGGAUAGGCAGAGGAAGGAGAAGGCGUGGGGUAAAGAGGCGGAACCUUAUCCUCUUAUAAAGGUAGCGAAUGUCAAACACCCCCUCACAAGCUGUAAUCUCACCUAUUCCCUAGGGGACGUGUGAACGGCACGGUUGGAUAACCCAAACCCUCAUUAUGAAAAUCUCGUAAUAAGGGGACACGAUCUCUACUUUGACAAGACAUGUCGAUGACCGUGCCUUGAAAUAUGAAAUGGGGUUGUGAAACAGUUCAGAACAAUAAUAAGGCCAGAACAUAACAUCUCACCAAAGAAAGUGACCCACAGACGUGAUUUAUUUUAAGAAUUGUUGCUUUUUACAGCUCAGGGUUGUACGUGUUAAACAAGGCCGAACACAGUUCUUGUGUGCAGAAAACUAUGUUGAAGUAUUCGGGAAAGGGGAACCCGCCUCGCAAUGCCGAAGACAGUCCAUGAGCUGGAUAUAUCGUCAUUGAAGCCUGGUUCAGGGGCUACUGAGGGAGUCCUGGACUAAGGGGUCCUUGGGCGUCUGGGCUAUGUGAUGUGCCGGACUGAUGGGCCAUGAAGAUACAAGAUAGAAGAACCUUCCCUUUGUCCAGAUGGGACUCUCCUUUGCGUGGAUGGCAAGCUUGGCGUUCGGAUUAUGCACUUUCCUUCUUCUGUAACCGACUUUAUACAACCCUAUAUCCCUCCGGUGUCUAUAUAAAUCGGAGGGUUUAGUCCGUUGGGCAAGAUCACAAUCAUACAUGCUAGACAUCUAGGGUUUAGCCACUACGAUCUCGAGGUAGAUCAACUAUUGUAACCCCUACAUUCAUCAUAGUCAAUCAAGCAGGAAGUAGGGUAUUACCUCCAUUAAGAGGGCCCGAACCUGGGUAAACAUUGUGUCCCUUGCCUCCUUGUUACCUUCGAUCCUCAGACGCACAGUUCGGUACCCCCUACCCGAGAUCUACUGGUUUUGACACCGAGAGGGGCUGCACCCAAUGCCUCCCCACCAUAAUAAAGGUGUGGAGGGGGCUGCUGGCUUGCCCUCCAAGGCCCUAGGGUCGUUGGUCAAAGGGGAAGGAAGGAAAUCCCUCCUUUUCUUCCCCCUUAGUCGCUAUCCCCCCUUUUUAAGGAUCCUAAUCUUAUCCCUUCGGGAAAUGGUACUAUUCAUUUUAAGGGAGAAUCAUGGUGUGUAAGUGCAUCUAGUGCCCCUUAGUGAUUUUGGUGUAUUGAAGACUUAUAGGUUAAGGGACUAAUGCGUUUGUGAGUGUACACAGGUCUAUAAGUCUAUGAGGAGUCUGAUAUUUGCAGAGAAAGUCGACCCCUCAAAAUGAAGUUCUUCAAGUGAAGACUUUGAUAUUCUGAAGACUUUCUGAAGACUUUGAAAGUGAAGAAAUUGGUGUGACCUUGAAGACUUGGUAUUCAUUUCUGGAACAUGAAGCGUGAAGACUUUUGUUUUCGUAGUUUCAUUUUCUCUUUCUUGAGUCAUAGGAAACACCGUACUGUUAAAGGGGGUCGAGGAAAUACUUAGGAAAAAUUUCCAUGUGAUGCUCAACUCAAAAUCCUACACCUACCAAUCCCUUCGAGUGAAGCCUUUGGAAAUCUCAUACAGUUCAGCCACUUUCUUCAGUGACAGAGACGAAGUUCUUCUGGUCACUGAUGAAUUUGUUCUGACUGAGGAGUUAGGAAUUCGCCAGUGCGAAUUACCUACACGGUGAGGAACAUGAUAGCCCUGAGGAAUUUGAGAGUCAAAUUUCUGACUGUUGUUGUGCUGCGCGCCAGCUGUCCCAAAAUAUCUUAUCCACCUAACGGUCAUAUCAUUGAGGGGCAUUUAUGUCUUAUCAUGUCGGGCUGCUCCCUAGGCUAUAAAUAGCCGCCCCCUACAACCACUAGUUGGUUGGCUGCUCCGAGAAAACUUGACACUUGUCAUUUGAGAGCAACCCAUCCUUCGAGGACUUUGAGCGAAAAUCAUCAAGUGAGGAAAAUCCCAAACCCAAACACCUACAAACCCCAAAGUGAUUGAGCAUCACUCAAGAAAUUGAUCCUGCGUGGAUCCGACGCUUGUUACCUUUGAAGACUGUGCUUCUUCCAGACGGUUAGGCGUCAAGGUCUAGAGCAUCCAAGAGGAAUUGUGGAUCGCCGAGUGACCAAGUCUGUGAAGGUUUGGAAGUCGCCUGAAGACUUACCACGAGUGAUUGGACGGGAUCUGUGUGAUCUUAGUUCAAGGAGAAUACGGUGAGGACUGGGUGUCCUGAGCUGCGUGCUCAGAGACUGGGUGUCCGGGACUGCGUGUCCUCGAGUUUAAAUACUCAGCCGCUCCAACCAGACGUACAACUAAGACAGCAGUUGGAACUGGUUUACCAAAUCAUUAUCUUCACCAACCUACUGGUUCUAUUUCCUCAACCCUUUCAUUUCCUCAUUACCGUGUUGGGUGUUUGUUCAUAUCUGUGUUUGAAGACUUUGACUGAAGACUUUCUCAAUUUCCUCAGUUCAAUUUCUUCAGUCUGUUUGGCUUCAUCUUGUGUUAUCCUGUGAUUACGCUUUCUGUACUCUGUGCUAGUCUUCAUUUCAUCAUGAUGACCAUGCUUGUAUUCUGUUAUGCUUACUUCUGAGUACUUAUUCCGCUGCUAAUAGUUCUUCGCUAAGGAAUUUCCUCACCUGCAAAUUCCUCAGUGAAGAAUUCAUAAAAAUCGCCUAUUCACCCCCCUCUAGUCGACAUAAUGCACUUUCAAUUGGUAUCAGAGCAAGGUACUCCAUUGUUCUGUGUGAUUUUGGUUUAACCGCCUGGAGUUUUAGUUAUGUCGACCGCAGGUAUGAUCAAGGUCUCGGUUGGGUGUCCUACCUUUGAUGGAACGGACUACCCCUACUGGAAAAACAAGAUGCGAAUGCAUCUCGAGGAAAUUGACAACGGUCUCUGGUAUGUUGUGGAAAAUGGUGUUCCCUCUGUUUCACCCUCACUGAACUCUACCGAUGUGAAGAGAUUCAAGCAACUCGAUUCUCAAGCGAAGAAUAUCAUAUGUGGCCAUCUGAGUAAAGGACAGUAUGGAAGAGUGAGUACUUUGGAAACUGCUAAGCUUAUCUGGGAUAGGCUAUCCAAAGUGAAUGAAAGAGUCUCAACUCAGCGUGACUCUCGAGUUGAUGUUCUUCGAAAUCUCUUCAACCGCUUCAAAAGACUCGACAAUGAAAAUGUCCAACAAAUCUUCGAUCGCCUCACUGACAUCUCAAAUGAGCUUCAAGCCCUCGGUGCCACUGACAUCACUGACCAUGAGGUGGUGAAGAAACUGUUGAGAUCGCUUGAUUCCUCAUUUGAUACUCUGGGUCUGAUGAUACAAGAACAGGCUGACUACAAGUCUCUUGAUCCUGCUGAUAUCCUCAAAAGGCUAAAUACUCACGAGUUCCAGCUUGCUGAAAAGAGAGAUCUCUAUGGUUCGAGCUAUGGCAAACCACGUGCCCUGAAGGCCAAGGUUGUGUCUGAGUCUGAAUGUGAGGACUCUGGUAGUAGCCUUGGUGAUCCUGAAGAACUGAGCCAGGAGCUAGCACUGCUCGUGAAGAAAUUCCAGAAGUUCUCAAGACGUGGUCGCUUUGGAAAAUCCUCAAGAAGCAGUGAUUCCUCAUCAAGUGACUAUAAGAGAAGGCUGUGCCACAAAUGCAAGAAACCUGGUCAUUAUAUUCAAGAUUGUCCUCAGUGGGAAAAGGAAUUGAAGAAGAAGAAAUACAAGGAUUACAGUUCUGAUGAUGCGAAGAAGAAGAAGAAAUCGUCAAAAUCUUCGUCAUCAAAAUCCUCGAAGUCUUCAUCUCACAAGAAGAGCAGCUCCAAGAAGGCUCGGGCAUUCAUUGGCAAGGAAAUGGACUCUGAAGCUGAAUCUGAGGAAAAUGAGGAAGAGGAGGCGUCUGAAGAAUCCGAAUCUGGUGUGGCAAGUCUGGCCUUUGCUACUGCUUUCGUUAGCAAGUUCAUCUUCAACACUGAAGAAACUGACCCCACCGACAAGCCUGAUGAAGAUAAUGAGGACUACGCUCCCACCUAUUGCUUCAUGGCAAAAGGUGCAAAGGUACUCAAAUACACCUCCCCUGAAUCUAGUGAAAAUGAAUCUGAUGAGAAUCUCAAGCCCAGCUACUCUAAACUUGCAAAGAUUGCUGUAAAACAACAAAGGGCUUUUGAAAAGGUUCAAAACAUGCUAGACAAAAGUGAUGAUAUGUUGGGUGAAGAAAUGGAUCGUAAAGCCCUAACUGAAAAUCUUCAGAGACUUCAGUCUAGGUUUGAUAACCUUCAAAGUCAUCAUAACACUCUCUUAUCUGAUCAUGAGAAACUUUCUUGUGAACUUCUUCAAAGAAAGCAAGAUCUUGAGAAGCUAAGAGUGAGUUAUGAAGAUCUUCAGAAGGAGCGCGAUUCAUUACUUGCUCAACAAAUCAGCACUUCUCAGGAAGAAUUUGUUCCUCCAUGCUUAAAAUGCAUUGAACGUGAAUCUGCUAAUUGUUCACCUGAAUGUUCAAAUGCUUCAACUGUUACAAAUUCUUCACCUGCCUCUGCUAUCACUAAUUCCUCAUCUGAGGACAUUGCUAGUAUCACUGACGAUGCAGGGCUAAAGGAAUUGUACACGACAGGCAUGUACAAAAGCCUCAAAGGGCAUCAGAUUCUUUGUGAUGUGCUCAAAAAGCAGAUCCUAAAUAGAAACCCUUGAAAAGAGGGUAUUGCCUUUGAGAGGAAACUUAAUGCUGAUGGAACAUAUUGGAAGCCUGAGCAGUACCCCAAAACCUCAUGGGUUGCUGCAAAGGGACCUCCAGUUGAUCCAUCCAUGUUAUCUGGCUUUACAUGUGAAUCUCCUCGUUCUUCUGAUGAGUCAUUUGACUCCAACUAUAAACAGUUCAAAAAUCAGAAUGGUGAAGUAUUUGCUAGAUAUGUUGGGACUAACUGCAGGAACGGUUCCCCUAUGAAGAAAAUAUGGGUUCCCAAAAGUUAUGUUGAAAGUAUUCAGGUGAAUGUCCUCAUGACACCACCUGUGAAGAAUGGGAACCCCAGAACAAACUCUUCAUAUGGACCUAAUUCUUCAUAUGGAUCCAAGUCCUCAUAUGGACCAAAUUCCUCACGUGGAUCAAAUUCCUAAAAUGGAUCAAAGUCCUCAUAUGACUAUCAUCGUGCUAACAACUCUGUUUCGCAGGGUAGAGCUAAGGGCUACGAAUAUGCACAUUAUUCUUCAAAUCAUUAUAUUCAUAAGUCCUCGAAGAAUUUCUCUGCUUACUCAUAUGCUUACCCUAACCCCUCUUAUGUGAAACGAAAUGGUUUGGCUUCUAUGCCACCAUUCUCAUAUGGUGCUCGCAGAGUGGUGAACUCUUUGCCACCCCUUCAGAUGUGGGUGGUGAAGAAAAAGAACUAAUCUCUUCUGCAGGGUCAGGUCUCCAGACGUGCCUUAACGUCUGAAGAAUUUGCUGGGGACCUAACAAAAUCGCCUAAAAGGACGCAGGCUAACCAUGAUGAAAUGAACUUUCAUUUCACACCUCCUCAUACUGCUAUAUCUGUUUACCGCUUGAUGAAAUUCAUCUGAUGAACUUAAUAUCAUAUUCUUCACUGAUGAAGCAUAUGAGAUUGUAAGUUACACUAAUUCAUCUGCAGGAUGACCAACCCAAAACCACUGAAUGGGUCCUCGAUAGUGGAUGUACAAAUCACAUGACUGGUGAAAAGAAUCUUUUGAUGGAUGCUCCUUUAUCACCGUCACAUCUGAAGCAUAUCAUCUUUGCUGACAAAGGCAAAAGUCAGGUAUUGGGUCUUGGUAAGGUUGCGAUCUCUAAGGAUAAACACAUGGACAAAGUCAUGCUUGUUGAGUCCUUAGGAUACAACCUCAUGUCAGUCUCAAUGCUUUGUGAUCUUGAUAUGGUUGUUGUAUUUGGCAAGUAUCGCUGUGUUGUGAUUAUGGAAGCUGACAAUUCCAAAGUCUUCGAAGGCUUUAGGAGAGGAGAUUUGUAUAUUGUUGAUUUCUCUACAGGACCACAACCAGCCGUGUGUCUACUUGCAAAAGCGUCAGAAGGCUGGCUAUGGCAUCGACGACUUGGUCACGCAGGCAUGAGGAAUUUGCACACGCUUGCGAAGAAGAAGCAUGUCAUUGGCAUUGAGAAUGUCAAAUUCCUCAAGGAUCACUUAUGCGGAGCCUGUGAAGCUGGAAAAAUGACCAAGGCCAAGCAUCCAGCGAAGACUAUCAUGACCACUACUCGUCCAUUCGAAUUGCUUCACAUGGACCUCUUUGGACCUAAUCAUUACUCAGCAUUCUCUAAUGCUGCAUCUCUAUAUGGUUUUGUCAUUGUUGAUGAUUACUCUCGAUAUACAUGGGUACACAUUGUUACUUACAAACAUGAAGUGCAGGAAGUCUUCAAACGGUUCUCCUCGAGGGCUUCAACCAACUUUGGUGUGAAGAUCAAACACAUCAGAAGUGACAAUGGAACUGAGUUCAAGAAUUCCGGUCUUGAUGACUAUCUUGAUGAACUUGGUAUUACUCAUGAGUUAUCUGCUCCUUAUACUCCUCAGCAAAAUGGCGUCGUGGAGCGCAAGCACAGAACUCUUGUUGAGAUGGCUCGCACUAUGCUUGAUGAAUACAAAACGCUUCAUCGUUUUUGGAUUGAUGCAAUUGAUACUGCGUGCCACAUCAUCAACAGAGUAUAUCUUCACAAAUUCUUCAAGAAGACGGCCUAUGAACUCCUCACUGACAAGAAACCCAAUGUGAGUUAUUUCAAAGUCUUCGGUGCUAAAUGUUGGAUUAGAGAUCCUCACCACAAUUCUAAAUUCGCACCGAAAGCACAUGAAGGUUUUAUGCUUGGUUACGGAAAGGACUCGCACACCUACAGAGUCUUCAACAUUGUUCUUCACAAGAUUGUUGAAACUGUAGAUGUGCGGUUCGAUGAAACUAAUGGCUCGCAAAGAGAGCACCUACCUUCUGUGUUAGAUGAACCAGCACCUGAGGAUUCUAUCAAGUUCAAGGCAACUGAAGAUGUCAUUCCUACUGAAGAAUUUGCUGAAGAAUUCAUUCCAGUACGCGAAGAACAUCGAGCUGACGCACCUGAAGACAAUGGUGCUGAGGAAAAUGAUCAAAUACCUCGACGUCAACCAGCUCAUCCUCGCGUUGCAAAAGAAGUACAAGUUGACAAGAUCAUCGAUGACAUUGAAGCGCCAGGUCCUCUCACACGCUCAAAAGCUUCACAUUUGUCUAACUUUUGUGGGCACUAUGCUUUUGUCUCUAUCACAGAGCCCACUAAGGUAGAUGAAGCAUUUUUGGAGCCGGAGUGGAUUCAGGCUAUGCAAGAAGAAUUACAUCAGUUCGAGCUCAACAAUGUCUGGGAACUGGUCAAAUGUCCAGAUCCUCACAAGCAUAAUAGCAUUGGCACAAAGUGGAUCUACCGCAACAAGCAAGAUGAAAAUGGCCUUGUGGUAAGGAAUAAGGCACAACUGGUAGCUCAAGGCUACACACAGGUUGAAGGAAUUGAUUUCGAUGAAACUUUUGCACCUGUUGCUAGACUUGAGGCUAUUCGCAUAUUACUUGCUUAUGCUAAUCAUCAUGAUAUCAUCUUAUAUCAAAUGGAUGUGAAAAGUGCAUUCCUCAAUGGUAAGCUUGAGGAAGAAGUAUAUGUUGCUCAACCCCCAGGUUUUGAAGAUCCAAAGAAUCCUGACAAAGUCUUCAAACUUAAUAAGGCCCUCUAUGGCCUCAAGCAAGCCCCUCGGGCGUGGUAUGAUACAUUGAAGGAAUUCUUCGUGAAGAAUGGCUUCACACCCGGUUCACUCGACCCUACUCUCUUUACUAAAUCAUAUGAUGGUGAACUGUUUGUGUGCCAAAUAUAUUGAUGAUAUUAUCUUUGGCUGUACUGACCAACGUUAUAGUGAUGAAUUUGCCUAUAUGAUGAGUGAAGAAUAUCAAAUGUCUAUGAUGGGAGAGUUGAAAUUUUUCUUAGGUCUUCAAAUUCGUCAACAGCGCAAUGGCAUAUUCAUAUCUCAGGAGAAAUACCUCAAAGAUGUACUGAGGAAAUUCGGCAUGCAAGAUUGCAAAGGCGUCAAAAUUCCUAUGCCCACAAAAGGCCAUCUAUGCACUGAUGGAAAUGGUAUUGACUUCGAUCACAAGGUAUACCGCUCCAUGAUUGGUUCUUUAUUGUACUUAUGUGCAUCUAGGCCAGAUAUAAUGCUUAGUGUUUGCAUGUGUGCCCGAUUUCAACCUGCACCGAAGGAAUCACACCAUAAGGCUGUGAAGCAUAUUCUUCGAUAUCUAGCUCACACACCAACACUAGGAUUAUGGUACCCCAAGGGCUCUGUUUUUAUCUCAUUGGAUAUUCUGACUCUGACUAUGCUGGUGAUCAUGUGGACCGCAAGUCAACUUCUGGCACUUGUCAUUUCCUGGGACGAUCUUUGGUCUAUUGGUCCUCGAAGAAACAGAACUGCGUAUCACUGUCUACUACGGAAGCUGAAUACAUUGCUGCUGGCUCUUGCUGUGCUCAACUGCUUUGGAUGAAGCAAACGCUCAAGGACUAUGGCGUCAACGUGAAGAAUGUGCCUCUCCUCUGCGACAAUGAGAGUGCCAUCAAGAUUGCUCACAACCCAGUUCAGCACUCGAAGACAAAGCACAUUCAGAUUCGUCAUCAUUUUCUUCGUGAUCAUGUGUUGAAGGGCGACAUCUCCAUCGAGCACGUGAAGACUGAAGAACAGUUAGCUGAUAUCUUCACUAAGCCCUUGGAUGAGAAGAGAUUUAGCAAGUUGUGGUGUGAACUAAAUAUCUUAGAAUCUUCGAAUGUUCUUUGAAAAGGACACACAUCCUAACACUUAUGCAAAAUUGAUGACUUAGAUGUGCAACACAUGAAGAAACGUUUUUCUUUAAUCAAUGAAGAAUAACACUCUAAGUGUGAAGAAAUUAAUGAAGAAUUUGAUUCUCAGAACCCUACGACAAAUUGUACGCGGUGUCUGAAAUCAUCAUUCUUAUACGGUGGGUCACACCACCACAAAAAGUUGAAAAUCCUCAAUUUUAGUUUUUCCUCAGUUUUGAAAUUCUUCAAUUUUUGAAAUUCUUCAACUUUACAAAAUCUUCAUUGUUCCCUUCAUUUUUCUUCAUUGGCUAUAUAUAUAUAUGAGUUUAUGUCCCUACAGCAUUCACUUAUAGCUAUUUCUUCAAGUUGCUUUUUCUGUUAAGUGAAUGUGAUCGGACCCUUCCCCUCUAUGCUAUACUCAACCCAAUCUAUUCACAAAUUCUUCAUGUGCGUUCUAUUUGAAACUCGUUCAAAGUCUUCACUGUGUCCUUGGUAGCUGAAGAAAUUGCGAACGAAACUUUAAAACAAAUCUUAUCCAAAUUUUCAGUUUUGCCGCUCAAACUGUUCCGCAUCCCACGAUGCAUUAUUCUAUUCACCCACGAUCGUCACGAUCUCCACUACACAGUACGUGGGUGACACAUGUCGCGUGAAGGAGAAAGGGCAGGGGCACGUUCGUCCUAAAUCUUCGGGCGAACAGUUUUUCACCGUGUCUAUAAAUACCCCUCUCCCCUUCCUCACUUCAUUUACUCCGCUCGACCAUCUCUCUCCCGCUCGAGCUCCUCAAACCCUAGCGCCACCGCUACUGCAUCGUCGCCGGUGAGGAAGAGCUUCGCUGCCUCGACCUCGUCGCCGUCGUACUCACGCCGACCACAGAAAUCUUCACUCCACAGCCGCCGUAGAUGUCUUCCUCCGCCGAGUUAGGGAAAGGAAGAUCUAACCUGACGAACUUCCCGUCUGUUCUUCUCAGUUCGUCGUGUUCUUCAUUUCGGGUAAUUAAAAGUUACUUUUAUUACUCGCUUUGAUUCUCAAGCUUUCCUGAAAAUCUUCAAAGGUGUUUAUUCUUCAAAUCUUCACACAUACGAACACCACACACUUCAUAUGAUCUUGAACUGUUUCUCUAAGCAACCAUUUUCUUUAAGAUUCCCUAAUUGUGUGGAUCUUCGAUCUGUACAACUCUGGAACCUAAGACAAGAACACUUAGUGAAAUUCCUCAAGGUUCAUCUGGUCAAAUUCCUCAAAACUUGUUCUUUUCAAAAACCUUCUCAGAACGCAUAUGACCUCUCCAAAUUCCUCGCACCUGUACUCUGUUCACAGGUACUCAUGUCUGCUGCUGAAUCAAUAGGUUCUCAUCAACUUAACUCAUUUGCAGCGUUCCUCGAAGAAAAACUGCAUACUUCUUCAGAGAACUCAUUUGUUCAAAUUCCUCAACUGAAGAAUAUGGCAGACGGUAAGAAGCCGCAGAAAGGAGGAAAGAAACCUGAGGUUAUGACUGCAUUUGAAAUCCCUGAGGAAAUUUAUGCUAACUAUUGCACAUCUGAUGAAGCAAAAUAUGGCAAAGAAAACAAAAAUCAGCACAAGGUGCGCAUUUAGAAGAUUGAACAGAGAUGGGCAAGGGAAUGGAGGGAAUACAGAUAUGUGACUCCAAAGUACAUGAAGAAAUUCUCCCUCAAUCCUCCAUGCCCAAGAGCUCCAUUGGCACCUGGCCAAGUAGCUGACCCCACAAGCAUCAACGUGGUGAGGACUUUCCUGAAGAAUGGGCUAAGCGCCAAGCCAAAUUGGCAAGACAAGCCAAGGAGGCAGUGAAGAAAUUCAAUGAGGAUUCUUCCACUGCUACUGCUACUGAGGCCUCAGUCAAACCGAGGAAAUCCAUGCCAAAGAAGCCUGCUCAUAAGCCAAGUGCUUCACCAACAGCGCCCUCACGGCCAAGUUCCUCAGCAGCGCCCUCAUGGCAAAUUCCUCACACUGCUACUGCUCCUUCAAAGUCCUCAGCUCAUGUGCAUCUGACUACAUGUCAAAGGACUGCUGGUUUCUCGAUUGCCUCUGGUGUUUCAGCAAGUUCCUCUGCUGCACCAAAGUCAUCAUCUGGCCCGACUCUGCUGAAGACCAAAGCAACAGCUGGACGAGGUCCUCGGCCAAGUCCAAAGAAGAAACAGGUCGCAUUCCACGUGCCAUCUGAUGAUGAAGCUUCUGAUGAUGAACUCGCAGAAAUCAUCAGAGACAGACAGGUAAAGGCCGCUAGAGCCAAAGGCACAUCUGUGCCACUGCUGUUGGAUCCUAGGAAAAUCCUCGAUUAUAUUGAUCUCUGGCACAAGGAUCCAAACACCCCCAUGCCUGAUUUUCAUCUGACCGCCGGUCAAAGUCACAUGCUGACCCAUUUCAUCACUGAAGAGAAAUGGAAGUUUGAAAAGGCAACUUCUCCAGGCUCAAUCUGAAGAGAGAUUAAGAAAGCUCAAUACAGAAAGGAGAAGCUCCUGAAGAAAAACGCUGUCAGAAUGACACCUGAGGAACUUCUCCAGGCUCAAUCUGAAAUUCAAGCCCUCAGCAAGGAUUUUGAUGCCUACUAUGCUGAUUGGCAAGGAGCCAAAGUCAGAUUCGUUAACCUGACGAAGAAAUUCACCAAUGUUGCUGCUCCAACGCAACAUGAAAUUCCUCAGGCUGAAGUCUCAGCUCAGCCGACUGAAGAACAUGCCAGCACCGCUGAUGAAGUUCAGGCUGCUGAAGAACAUGCUAGUUCCAGGGCUGAUGAUCCUAUUCCAGCCGCUAAAGAAAUUGCCAGGGCAUCCACUAGUGGUGUGCCUGAAGAAACUGAAGAAGUCAGGGCAACUGCAUCCGUUGCACCUGAAGAAAAUCAACCAGAUUCCUCAGCUCCAUCUGCACCUACACCAACUCCAAUUCUUCCAUGUGCAUUUGAUGUGAAGAAGACCAAGGCUGCAGAGCGAGCUGCAGUGAAGAAAAGGAAGGCAUCAGCCGUGUCAAACUCUUCGGCUACGAAGAAACUGAAGCCAAUGACCAGCUCACUCGAAAAUCCAAUUGAUGCUGUUCCGAUUUCCUCCAUGCCAACAAAGGACCUUGUUCCUUUUGGAGAAGACUAUGAGAUCCCCAUCGGAUCUGAUGAAGAACAUCAUUCUGCUGCUUCGUCAGAGCAGAUUGAUGAAGAAAUUGAAGUGGACGCGAUCCCUUCAACGCCAGUCAUUUCCUCACCUAUGCCUCAGUUCACAGCUGAAGAGGCUGGUGUUGAGGAAAUUGAAGAUGAAGAUGUGGAUAUAGGGUGCACCACACCUGUGAUGAAUGAUGACUUUUGGGAAAGUCAGCAUCCCAAUACUCCUCUCUUCACCCCGCUCCAACAGAUUCCUCAGUCCCCUACACCAACAGUUCAAAUGGGCUCUGAAGAAACUCAACCCACUCUUUCUGUGCAUGAAGAAAUUCCAGCCACUAGUGCUGAUGAACCUGCUGCUGCUGAUCCUCAGACUGCACCUAUUGAGGAACAAGAAAUUCCUCAGCCUGAAGAACCUGAGCUCGCGAUUCCUGAGGUGGUGAUGCAACUCACUGACAUCCCUCUGCCAAAGCAAAAGAAUUCGUUCUCAAGCAAACAGAAGUUCAAGGCUGAAGAUUUCUUUGCCGAGCAUGUAUUCUUCACUGAUUAUAAUCCAUAUGAUUCUGCUCGCAUAAGGAAGAGGCGUUUCUGGACUGCCAGCCAAGCCAAUUUCUAUUCCUUAGUGCUCUUCAACAAAGACAAAGUCUUCGAUCAUGCACAUAUUCCUCAUGUGGACAUGGAGUCUCUGCCCGGCUUUGAGCCAGUCCUCAGUGUUCUUUACGACGCAGGACUUCUAAAUUUCUGCAUUGAUAUCUGUGACUGGAAUGAAGAACUCAUUCUUCAAUUCUAUGCAACUCUGCACAUCACCGAAGACGCUGAAGACGUGAACUCCUGGGUAUUAGACUGGAUGUCUGGAAAUACUCACUACAAGGCACCUGCAACUGAAUUGCUUCGUGCUCUACCACUCAGUCCUCCACUUGAUGAUGCUCGUUGUAUCUACAAUGAACCAGAACUUUCAAAUGACUAUAUGCAAGUGCUGAUGAAGCCGUUGAAGCCAAGGCAGGCCCCAUGAACCAAAUUCCUCGUCAAGGAAUUACUCUAUGUGCCUCGGACUGUCUAUCGAAUUCUGACGAAGACAAUGAGUCCCAUCAAAGGCCACGACUCAAAUGAUGAAGAAGUCAUUGGCAUCAUGAAGAAUAUGCUUUUCAACAUCAUUCAUGGCGUUCCCAUAAACUUCCAUGAUUUCUUCAUGAGGACUCUGGCCAAUAUUGCUAUGUCACCAUUCGAGCUGAAGCCCUAUGCUCCUUGGAUUAUGAGAUUCAUCAGGGCAAGAUCUUCACUGAAUUACAAAGCUGACACUCUAAACCACAGUAGCUACUUGCCUCCCAUUGAAGUCCUCAAACGGUCAGUUUCAUCAGCUGAUGACAAAGGCAAGGCCGCUGCUGUGAUCGAUGAAGGCAUUCGUCCUUUGGAUGGUCAAUUUCGCAAGGCUGCAUCUUACUCUACCAAUGACGAUUUUGCCACACAUGACUCUGCCGCCAAUACCUCAGCCAAGCAAAAUCCUCAAGCCACAGCACCCAGGGUGAUGACUGACCGUGAGUUACUCCUCAGUCUUCAUCAGAAGGUUGAUCGCAAUCAUAAAUGGGUCAAGCGCCAGUUUGGUUCAAUUCUUCACAACAUGACCUCAACACACAAUGCAGUGAAGAAAAACCAAUACUACCUCCAUGAAACCUUCAACCGUACCUGGGCUAUUCUCUCUCAUGUCUACAGCGCUGCUGAUCUGAAGAAUAUGGGUCUCAAGGAAGAAUUUGACUGGUCUGCACCUCCACCGAAGAAAUUCAAGAAGGUCAAAGUUCCUUCCUUGGUGGCCAGCUCUUAUUCUUCAUCACGUGACACUGAUGAGUAUGAAGAUUUGGACGACACUACGGCAGGCCCUGCUACAACAAACAACCCCGACAACGCUGGCGCUCCUCCAUCGACUUGAAAUUCUUCAAGGGCGUUAGUCCUCAGUUUCAAUCCUUUUGGUCAUUCGAUGAAAAAGGGGGAGAAAUCUGAGUUAGUCUUCAAGCGGGUCUAUAUUAAGGGCAUUUUUAAGUUACAACUCUUGUUCUCCUGAGACUUUUAUUUGGAUCGAGUUGUAAUCUUAAACCCGAUGGUGCACUGAUACUUUUGUUGCAUUAUGCUCUGCAUGCUUAUUUCCUCGUUAAUGACAUUGCACACAUGCUGAAUCUCAUCAGACACCAUAUUUCAUCAUGCAUUUCAAAUUCUUCAUAUUAUAUAUCAAAUGUGUGUAUGAAUUACAAGAUAUAGGGGGAGAUCUCCAUGAUUCAACUCUUUAAAUGUGCAAUGCUUCAAAAGCAAAUUCCUCACUAUGCACAUCUUCAGGGGGAUUUCUUCUAUAUCUUGCAAUCAAAUUCCUCAAAAUCAGUAUAUACACUUCAUAUAUUUAUCCCCGUUGAAAACUUAACCUAUGUUGUCAUCAAUCACCAAAAAGGGGGAGAUUGUAAGUGCAUCUAGUGCCCCUUAGUGAUUUUGGUGUAUUGAAGACUUAUAGGUUAAGGGACUAAUGCGUUUGUGAGUGUACACAGGUCUAUAAGUCUAUGAGGAGUUUGAUAUUUGCAGAGAAAGUCGACCCCUAAAAAUGAAGUUCUUCAAGUGAAGACUUUGAUAUUCUGAAGACUUUUUGAAGACUUUGGAAGUGAAGAAAUUGGUGUGACCUUGAAGACUUGGUAUUCCUUUCUGGAACAUGAAGCGUGAAGACUUUUGUUUUCGUAGUUUCAUUUUCUCUUUCUUGAGUCAUAGGAAACACCGUACUGUUAAAGGGGGUCGAGGAAAUACUUAGAAAAAAUUUCCAUGUGAUGCUCAACUCAAAAUCCUACACCUACCAAUCCCUUCGAGUGAAGCCUUUGGAAAUCUCAUACAGUUCAGCCACUUUCUUCAGUGACAGAGACGAAGUUCUUCUGGUCACUGAUGAAUUUGUUCUGACUGAGGAGUUAGGAAUUCGCCAGUGCGAAUUACCUACACAGUGAGGAACAUGAUAGCCCUGAGGAAUUUGAGAGUCAAAUUUCCGACCGUUGCUGUGCUGCGCGCCAGCUGUCCCAAAAUAUCUUAUCCACCUAACGGUCAUAUCAUUGAGGGGCAUUUAUGUCUUAUCAUGUCGGGCUGCUCCCUAGGCUAUAAAUAGCCGCCCCCCUACAACCACUAGUUGGUUGGCUGCUCCGAGAAAACUUGACACUUGUCAUUUGAGAGCAACCCAUCCUCCGAGGACUUUGAGCAAAAAUCAUCAAGUGAGGAAAAUCCCAAACCCAAACACCUACAAACCCCAAAGUGAUUGAGCAUCACUGAAGAAAUUGAUCCUGCGUGGAUCCGACGCUUGUUACCUUUGAAGACCAUGCUUCUUCCAGACAGUUAGGCGUCAAGGUCUAGAGCAUCCAAGAGGAAUUGUGGAUCGCCGAGUGACCAAGUCUGUGAAGGUUUGGAAGUCGCCUGAAGACUUGCCACGAGUGAUUGGACGGGAUCUGUGUGAUCUUAGUUCAAGGAGAAUACGGUGAAGACUGGGUGUCCUGAGCUGCGUGCUCAGAGACUGGGUGUCCGGGACUGCGUGUCCUCGAGUUUAAAUACUCAGCCGCUCCAACCAGACGUACAACUGAGACAGUAGUUGGAACUGGUUUACCAAAUCAUUGUCUUCACCAACCUACUGGUUCUAUUUCCUCAACCCUUUCAUUUCCUCAUUACCGUGUUGGGUGUUUGUUCAUAUCUGUGUUUGAAGACUUUGACUGAAGACAUUCUCAAUUUCCUCAGUUCAAUUUCUUCAGUCUGUUUGUCUUCAUCUUGUGUUAUCCUGUGAUUACACUUUCUGUACUCUUUGCUAGUCUUCAUUUCAUCAUGAUGACCAUGCUUGUAUUUUGUUAUGCUUACUUCUGAGUACUUAUUCUGCUGCUAAUAGUUCUUCGCUAAGGAAUUUCCUCACCGGCAAAUUCCUCAGUGAAGAAUUCAUAAAAAUCGCCUAUUCACCCCCCCCCCCCUCUAGUCGACAUAACGCACUUUCAUGGUGCGCCUAGACCAAUGGUUUGAGGAGUUUCCCCACUACCCAUGUUUAUUUGGGUCCCCAUGCAGGUGGGCCCACCCUUCUAGAACCUUCUUGGUACAAUACUGAAAAAACCCAAACAUUUUCUAAAACCCUGAAUAUGAAUUUCCAUAUAUAAAUCUUUACCUCCGGACCAUUCCGCAUCUCCUCUUGAUAUCUUGGAUCUCAUCCGGGACUCCGAACAACCUUUGCACUUUCCGCUAUUAAUAUCUCAACACUAUCCUAGCGCUACCGAAUGUUAAGCGUGCGACCCUACGGGUUCAGAACAUGCAGACAUGACCGAGACUCCUCUCCAGUCAAUAAUCAAUAGCGGAACCUGGAUGCCCAUAUUGGUUCCUACAUAUUCAAUGAAGAUCUUUAUCAGUUGAACCACAAUGUUAAGGAUUCAGUCAAUCCCGUAUGCAAUUCCCUUUGACCGGCGAUAUGUUACUUGUCCAAGAUUCCAUCGUCGGCAUCUCCAUACCUAGUUCAAUCUUGUUACUGGCAAGUCUCUUUACUCGUUUCGCAAUACAAGAUCCCAUAACUAAACUCAUUAGUCACAUGAAGCUUCUUACGAUGUUGUAUUACCGAGAGGACCCAGUGAUAUCUCUCUGUCACACGGAGUGACAAAUCCCAGUCUCGAUCCAUGCAACCCAACAGACACCUUCGGAGAUACCUGUAGAGCACCUUUAUGGUCACCCAGUUACGAAAUGAUGUUUGAUAGCACAUAAGGCAUUCCUCUAGCAUCCGGGAGUGGCAUGAUCUCAUGGUCGAAGGAACAGAUACUUGACAUGAAGAAAAAUAUUGCAAAUAACUAAACGAUCUGAUGCUAAGCUUAUGGGUGGUCUGUCCAUCACAUCAUUCUCCCAAUGAUGUGAUCCCGUUAUCAAAUGAAAACUCAUUUCUAUGGUUAUGAAACCAUAACCAUCUUUGAUCAACGAGCUAGUCUAGCAGAGGCUUACUAGGGACACAGUGUAGUUUAUGUAUUCACACAUGUAUUUAAGUUUCCAAUCAAUACAAUUCUAUCAUACAUAAUAAAUAUUAUCACGAAUGGGAAAUAUGAUAAUAACCAAUUUAUUAUUGCCUCUAGGGCAUAUUUCCAACACCACUGGGUGUGCCUGAUCUGCGGCGGCUUGCUUGACAUGGUUGUGAAGGCGGCUGUUCUCCUUCUCGGUGUGUUGUCCCGCUUGGCAACGCUGUUGUUGGUGUGUUGUGCAGGGUCGCGGCAGGGUCUUGGUAGUCGUCUCUUUCCGGCGUGUUUGGCUGGUUUUCUCAUGGUCCCUUUCAUCGCGGAGUCGGAGCGGCCUCCGUGGGUCAUCGAUGGCAACGAUGACGGGUGCUCGGUGGUCUUCGGGGGAGGUCUUCGUCGGCGCAACCUCUGCAUAUUCUUUUGCGCUUGAUCGUCAUCAAAGUCGGAGUUGUCUCGGCGCUGCUCCUGGUAGCCAACUGUUUGGCAUAGCUUGAUGUGGUGCCUCAUGCAGGUUGUUGAUAUGAGGGCUUGUUGGUGGUUUGGUUGUGGUGAAGUCGCAGUCGCUAGCUCGCGGAGGAGUGAUGACGAUGCCACUUGUGGUCAGCCUCGACGGUGCUCCUCCUUUGGCUGUGUGUGGUUUUUGUGUUGAUAGCCAGGUUAGCUGGUGGUGCCCCUUCGUGGGUUUUUAUGGUUUUUGUCUGGUUUUCUAUAAUUAAACGGGUAAAAUCUUCUUCUUUACUAAAGAGAUGAGGCAUAGCUUUUGCCUCCAUUUCGAAAGAAAAAUAAUCGGUGCCGGGACCUGCAAAUCUGCUGGGCGAUUGGCCUCUCAGUUGUUUGUUAUGUUUUCUUCCAGCGGAGGAGCUGAGCCAAACAGAUUGGACUGACAUUGCAAUAGAGAGAUUUCAGGCAUGGCAUGCAUCUGUAUCUGUGCGACGUACGUACGGCACUAACGGACCAUGAGAAUUCAGGUUUUCAGGGCUGGUCAAUGGACCACGCCGGGUCUUGUACAAACGCUCAGGCAGGUACCAGCAGCGAUCAGCCAGCCAGUGUACGUGGGUGGACAGCUUUGUCCUUGCACGGCCCGUUGCUGCCGCAUUUCUCCUUGGAUCAUUCCACAAGCUGUAGAAUAGAAGACCGGGCAUUCCGUGGCGCCCGAAGUUGAAUCGUUCCUACUAGCACUGUUGGUGCAAGUGUGCAAGGAUGAACCAUAGCCCACGCCACACGGCCUCUUCUUGCGCGUUGAUCAUUGCAUCCCCUUGAUUGGCCCUAGAGGACACGCCAUGAAGUUUUGGUUCCUAAACCGGGGGCCGCGCUCAACCCUGUCCUGUGGAAGAGAAGACCGUGCAUGCAUGCAGUACUGCCCAGAGUUGAACCGUUCCAUACAUGGUCACCGUGUCCUCAAGACCGGGCAUGCCGUGUCCAGACUCCAGACACGGAUCGAUCGGGCGCAUCGGUGCGCCGGACACCGUAUCCCAUGACCACUUUUUCUGAUCCGGUGAUUUACUUUGGUGGUGAGAUACAAAUUAUAAACGAUGGCUUGACGCAACAGGAUGGUUGCGCAGUGGCGACAAUUGCAUCGCAUGUACCUAUUGGGAUCGCGGAAAUGUGGUGACGACACACAUGAGCGACUUCGAUGAUGGUGUCCUUGAGCACCCGGUCUUCAGCCCCGGGGUGAAAGCUUAAGUCAGACCCGAGUGGUCAUACCUGGUGUUGGCAAUGUUUUUCUUACGAUGUUACCUUGUUGAAGGCAUUGCUUGGAUUGAUUCUUCAUCGUGAAAACCUAUAUAAUGUCCUUGUGGUUCGAUCAAGUCAUGCCGUUGCUUGAGUGUCGCUCUUCCUGAAGGCAUUGUUGUUGAAGAACCAUGUCACCCUAUGUUGUCUUGAGAUGGUUGGUGCAGAUAUGAUAAUUGUUGUAGUUUGCUGAUUGCAGAUUUGAUCGCUUUGGGUGUGUUUUUUUUCAUUUUUCCUCGCCUACACGCAGUUUGCUGGCCUAUUUUUGCAUAUGUGUGAGUUGGUGGUUAUUAUGUGCAUCCUAGCUAUGCAGAUGUCUGGUGUUUGCUCAUUGUAUUAGUAUCUUCUUGAUAGUUUAUUUCGAGCCAAUAAAAUCCAUCAUUCGUCGAAAAAGGGACCGAAGUGGGAGAUUCUCACUUUUGGACUAGCCUUUCGACAGUAAUAUAUAUAUAUAUUUUUUAUCAACAAUGUACAAAAGUGAUUGGAAAUGGGGAGAAUACCAUAUUUUGGGAGGAUUGGUGGAUGGGAGAUAAACCGCUCAAACGAUCCUACCGCAGCGUACAGUAUGAGUUUGAUCAUAAUAUAACUGUGGUUGAGGUCAUUAAUAAGGGCUGGGAGGGAUUCACUUUUAGAAGAACUCUCCGGGGAGAAGCUUUUGGGGUUUUGGAAUAGUUUGAAAUUGAGAUGUGAGGAGGUUGGAAUGAUGAGGGGAAAAGAUAAAAUUAAAUGGAUGCUCGCUGAUGACAGAAAAUUCACCGUUAGCUCUUUGGAUAAAUUUUGAAUUAAAUCUGUUUGUUGUUUUCAGCAAAAAAAAAACCUGUGGGAAAUCAAAAUCCCCUCGGAAAUGAAGUGUUUUUUGUGGCUUAUGGUCAAGAAGUUCAUCGUGACUAAAGAUAAUUUGCUUCAAAGAUGCUGGAAAGGUGGCAAAAUGUGUGUCUGUUGUGGAAAUGAUGUGAAUAUUGAUCAUUUAAUUUUCCAGGGUUCAGCUGCUAGACUUAUCCGGAGUCUUUUAAAAUGUACUCUUGAUUUGCAAUCUACUCCUGCUACUAGUCUGUUUGAUUGCUUCUGUAGGUGGAUUAAGGACUUCCCAAACGAUGAUAUAUAGGCGGCUGUGUCAUUACUGCAAUGUUUUGGGUAAUCUGGAAACGCAGAAACAAUAUUAUUAUUUUCGAGCGAGAAAUUAUAGGACAGGACAGCCCCUCUUGCAUUAUCAAUAACUAAAGAAAAACACAGCUGAUCCGCAAUGACUAGUCCACGGACUAAGAUCACCCGUCGCAUCGAUCGCGAGCUACACUGCACGACCCUAACAAUUGCAAAUCCGCCGAGUUGUCCCGCGGUUUCAAUUUAUUUUUCUCUUCGAGCGGAUGGGCUGUCGCCGCAGGCGUAAUGCGGAGGGUGAGGAUUAUAGCUGGUUGAACCAAGAUUAAUUAGAGCGGUUGGAUGGUGUUCAUCGAUCAAUGACUAGCUGCAGUUUGCAAUAACUUAACGGCCGUCGCAAUCGCAUCACCAAUUGUUGCAAGCACGGACAAGGGACGUACGGGGUGGUAACUAAGGCAACGCGAGCGACAGCCUAGCCCAACGCCAGAUCGGUCGGCCUACUUAGCUUCACACGCCCAAGUCUGUCAACAUAAUUACUCGAUCGCCAAGUCGCAAUCGAUCCAGCCACCCCGGCCGGACCCGGCCGCACAAAGACUCCGGCAGGACGUCGGUCGUCGUGGCCAUUCAUUCCCCGGCGCCACCGUACGUACGUGUACAACCACCCUCGAUUGGUCUCCACUCUCCAUAUAAAUCCGCCUGGCUCCGUCACUAGCUACUCCCAGAUUAUACUCCCAUCGUCGCCGGGAGAGAAGCCGCCGCACGCCGUUCCAACAAAUUCAUUCGUCCAUCCUCGGAUCGAUGGCCGCCGUGAAGGUCAUUGCUUACGGCCGAUCGAACUGGCAUUCCUUGAUCUCUCUUGUGAUUUAUACCGCGCCUAGCUAGCUCCUCAUGUACUGGUAGUUGGUUUGAUCUGAUCGUUUGGUUCUCUGACGGCUGCAGAAGGUGGUGGUGAAGCUGGACCUGCGCGACGACACGCGGAAGCGCAAGGCGAUCAAGGCCGUCUCCGCUCUCUGUGGUGACUUACUUACGCCCCUUUUCUUUUCUAGGUCUGCUUCGUCCAAAACAUGCAUGCAUCGAGGUCGACGACGACGACAACCGUGGCUUCCUUCCGUCCCCAGGUAUCGAGGAGAUCGCCGUGGACAUGAAGGAGGAGAGGAUGACGGUCGUGGGCACGGUCGACCCCGUCGACGUCGUCCGCAAGCUGCGCAAGCGCUUCUGCAUGGUGCAGAUGGUCUCCGUCGGCCUGGCCAAGGAGGAGAAGAAGAAUGGGGACAAGAAGCAGGAAGGCGAUAAGACGGAUGGAAACAAGGAGAAGAAGAAGAACAGCGACACCAAGGACGUCCCGCCGUGGUGCCCGCCGCACUGUUACCCGCUGCCUCACCACCACCCUCACCCGUGCUGCUUCCUCCACACCGAGGAGAACCCCAGCGCGUGCGUCAUCUGCUGAUCGGUCCGACGUACAUUUCUUGUAACCCUCCUGCAUGCCAGCCAAUUGAUCGGUCGGGACUCGGGACUCACCAGCCCACCUACACCGGUGAUCGACGGCGUGCGUUAUAUUUUUUAAUAUAUGGCCGUGUGUGAGCUAAAUACUGCACAGGUGAUCUGGCAGCUGCGCGUCUGCUGAGUUCGCCAGAUACGGAUUUGCGGUGUGGCUAAGAACUUAAAUAAAUAAAACUGCUGCAUUUGGAUUGACGUUCACGGAAAUGCCUAAUGGAGCUUCAGCUACAUGGAGCCCUUCAUUUGAAAAUUUCAAAUUUCUAAAUUUUAAGUUCCAAAAAAUUCUGAAAACUAAUACGCAUAUACAUGAAUGUAUACUACUUGUCUUUUCUAGGGAACAUACACUAUUUGUCUGCGAAGUUUCAUGAUGAAAUAAUUUUUUACGAGCUAAACAAAAAGACAAAAUCAUGUAUUUUUAGCGCGUAUACUAUUCACUAUAAAAUCACGUGUUUCUAGCGUAUUUGUAGCGCAUAUAUACAUAUAUUUAUUUCAGACUUUUUUAAACUUGAAAAAAUAUUUUUUUGAAUGUUUGAAAAUUUCAGCCUCUACGAAGCCCGAGAGCAAAAAAGAAUCCACUAUUGUUCGUUAUUAUACAUAGUAUUUACUCCUUACAAUUACACGGGACGCUGCAUGCACGGUCAAACACAUGACUACGACCUACUCCCUCUGUUCCAUAAUAUAAAAAUAUUUUUAACACCACACUAAUGUCAAAUACGUUCUUAUAUUAUGGGACGGGGGGAGUAAUACAUUGUCAUUUGUCCUUCUCGGAAAAUACACAUUGUUAAGUGCAGGUCUUAAUCUCGGCCCUAACUGCGCGGAGUUUUCAAAAAAAAAUCUACGUCCAUUUAUCUAACUCUGCAGAUUUGCAAUUAGGUCGCCACACAUAUCCUUCUCCACUCCAAUUGCAAACCUGCUGAGCUAGCGAUUGGUCCUCCCGUUUUAUUUUAUUCUAUCAACGGAAGAGGUGUUUAAUGCAACAGGCUCUCCCGACACCGCCGACCUAAUGCAGAGGAUUAUUCGUUAUCAUAAUGGCCGAUCUCAUAAAAGUCGUAGCUAAUUAUAAUCUGUCCCUGCACGCAUCCACAAAGGGCGAAAAGGCUUGCCAGCUUUUGCACUAUCUUCCCUCUGUCGUCGGAAAUUUCCAUGACAAGCGGCACCGAGCGCUUCACUCGAGGCGAGACGGUCGUGGAGGAGGCCGUGCCCAUCAUUCAUGGCCUUUCUAUGUCUAGGGAGUGUAACCAGCAAGCAUGAGCGUGCAUACUACGUAGUAUUGUUUUUGGUUUUCGAGAUUGGCCGAGCUGCUAAUGCUUAAUUAGUUCACUAAGUUACUGGCACGAGUGUGCCAUAAUUAAGGGCCAGUUUUUUGGCAAUUCUUCCAGAAUUGACCCCUUUCCCAGCUUCUUUCAGAAUUGUCACUUCAUUUUUUUACAACGUAGCUAAUUAGACCUUAACUAGCUAAGAAUUAUAAAAAAAAUGAAGAGGCAAUUCUAGAAGAAGCUGGGGAGGGGGUCAAUUCUGAGAGAAUUGCCCAAAAAAACUAGCCCUAAUGUUGCGUCUGGAACUACCACGCUAGUCCCUAUGAUCACGAAGAGAGGGAGAGAGAGCAUUUGUCUGAGAGAACAUUGUUUGCUUGGAAUCUUUUAAUUAUUUGUUUUUUCCAACUUUCGUUGAAUUGCGUCGUUGGCAUGAUGAGGAAUACGAUUGUUGUCUCAUCUAGUAUUUGAUUAUAAAAAUCCUCCUACUCAUUCUGAAUGUAAAAUAAAGGGACUCACUGUUGGUCUUUUUUUUAGACAAUUCACGAAGCUUUAUUACGCCGCCACUAGGUGCAGUGGGAUGAAUGAAAGGUUCCCGGGUGGCCUAACCACACACGAUGGCCCGCCCCUAAAUGUAAAGCAUGCUUCGCUAAAUUGUGAGAUUCCACAUUGUUGCUCCUAAACUCAUGGACGAAGUUACAAGAAGUAAAAAUACUAGAGUAUUUUAUGAUUUCAUGUACGAUCGCUCCGUACUCCGUCCCACUCUUCUGCUUGAUACUAUCAAUCACCACCUUACAGUCUGAGGCAAUAUGAAUAGCCUGCAGCUAAAGAUCUUCCGACAAAGACAAAGCUUCCCUAACCGCCAGUGCUUCUAGGGUGCUAGGAUCAGUAAUCGCUCUGAAACCCAUGGUCGAAGCACCCCAAGAACAUUCCUUCGACAUCUCUAGCUAUAACCGCGACUGUGCCAACUCCCCGCCUCUCUGCAACUGUUGCAUCAACAUUCAGCUUCGCCAUAUUGGCCGGGGGCUUCAACCAAUGAUUCGGUCUGGGUACCGGAGAACUGCCCCCCGCCGUCGCGACCUUGGCCUGUAUCUGAAAAUCAUCACUAUAUCGUUGAAUAAAUAGGUGUGUGGAUAAAGGAGGUUGAUGGAUAUCCUCAUAGGCAACUUUUCUCUUCGCACCCCAGACUGCCUAUAGAGUGAUGGUCAUCCGCAUGAACUGGUCCGGAUUAAGAGCUUUGUUAAGAGCAAACAUCCAAUCCCGCGGGUUGUCAUUAUCAUGUUGGCACAUUUUUUGGACCAGUUCUUCAUCCGAGAGCGCCCAUACGCAACGGGCCAUGGUGCAGUCGAUCAUCGUGUGUCUCCAAGAGUCUGGAGCUCCACAAAGCAUGCAAGCCGCAGAGUCCGCCAUAUGUGUGUGCUCGAGCACGUCGGCUGUUGGGAUAGAGCUCCUAGCAAGUCUCCAUAAGAAGAAUUUUAUCUUGGGUGGUAACUUUACCUUCCAUAAUGAUGACCACAAGUUACACUCAUGUUCAGAUCGACUGAAAAAGAGUUUGGGUCAGUCGAUUGACCCCAACCUCAUUCUCAGUCAAGCUCGAUUAAUUAGGCAACCCGCCACGCCAGGCCACUCUGUUUCUAGGAAAGAACGAAACCCUUUAUGAAGAAAGAAAAUUGAAAAAAAACUUGCACACAAUUUGCACUGAAAUUGCACUUUUGAAACAUGCAAUGAUUAAGCAUAUAUAGUGCAUCUUUCGCAUUCUAUUAUAAUUUACACAUAGUAUAACUGAAAUAAUGUUUUUUCCUUAAGAAGAAAAUAAAUAUUUUAUUAAAACUUGCGCACAACUUUGCACCAAAAUUACACUUUAUAUGAAUAUGCAAAGAAUAAUCAUAUAAUCAUGAAAUUUUGGCACAUAUUAUGAGGUAUUUGUAUGUAUAUAAUUACACUAAGCCAAAAACCCACAAAAAACAAAAUAUACGAAUAAAUGGGAAAAAGGAAAACCCAUAGAAACAUAAAACAGAAAUAAAAAAUGAGGCAAAAAUACCCACAAAAGAAAGAAUUAGAUUUCCUAAGAAAGAAUGAAUUAGUGGCAUUCGUAAUAGGCAUUGGUAUUACCAUUUAUGAACAAAGAAAUGGGAAGAAGAAUCUAAAACGAACACUGGCAUAAUUUGCAUGAAAUAUACAUAGAAAGUGCGCUUCUUAAAAAUAUGCAAGAAUAAAAUUAUAUAAAAGUGGAACUUUUGCCAAAAAAAAUCUAAGAACAAAUGAAUAGCGCCAUUGGUAUUAACCUUAAAGUCGAAUGAAAAUGAAGUAAAGACUAAAACACUCAAAAGAAUUAUUAUUUUUCUAAAAAAGAAUGAAUUAGUGGCGUUGAUAUUCCCUUUAAGAAGAAAGAAAAUUAAAAAAACCUGGGCACAACUUUGGACCGAAAUUACACUUUAUCAUAAUACGUGAUUAUUAUAAUCAUGAAAUUUAGACAUUUAGGCACACAUUAUAUGGUAUCUGUAUGUACAUAAUUACACUCAGACAAAACCCACAAAAAACAAAAACAAAUAACUUAUAGAAAAGAAAAAAUGAGAAAAGGAAAAAGAAAAGAAAAAAGAAAAAAUGCACCUAGAAGAACAAAACCGAGCCCAAGCAGCAAUUUGACUGACCCAAAAUAGGGGUUUAUCGAUUCCACACAGCCCAACUCAUCACCAAAAUGACACGGAAAAAAGAAGACAAGACACAUCUCAGAGGCAUUUCCUAUUUGGCGCUGCAGGCGCCCGUUAAUGUGUAUUCUGCAAACGGGCGCCUACACCGUCCCUAACUGGGCCGGCCCGUUACUGUGUAAGUGAUUCUGCAAAAAAAGAGUACGUCGUCCACGCGACUCGAACCACAGACAGACCUCGUGCAAUAAGGUUCGAUGGUAUAACCAACCCGCCACACAACAGGUUGUGAUAAGAUCUAACUCUUUCCGUCAAUUGUUCUCUCUUUUUCCUUUUUCUUUUUUCGUUUUUCUUUUUCCAUUUUUCUUUUUCUGUUUUUCUUUUCUUCUUCUUCUGGUUUCUUUCCCUCAUCGAUUUCGUUUUUUUAUUUCUUAACUACGUGAACUUUUCAAAACCGGUGGUGUAUUUAUUUUAAAUUUGAUGAACUUUUCUUUUCAAAAUUUAUGAACUUUUUCAUAUUUUCGUGAACUAUUUUUAAAAAUUGAUGAUUUUGUUUCAAAUUUGAUGAUAUUUUUGAAAUUUGAGGAACUCUUUUUCAAAAUCUAUGAACUGUGUUAAAUUCAAUGAACAUUUCUUCAAAUUGGAUGAACUUUUAUUCAAAUUGGAUGAACUAUUUUCAAAAAUUGAUGAACUUUUCUCAGUUUUGUGAACUUUUUCCAAAAUUGAUGAACUUUUUUCAAAUUGGUGAACUUUUUUUCAAAAUUUUGCUGAACAGUUUUCAAUUUUUUGUGAACUAUUUUUUUAAAUUGAUGAACGUUUUUCAAAAUCAUUGAACUUUUCUUGAAUAGGGCAACGUUUUUUUGCAUGUUCAUGAACUUUUUCCGAAAUUUGCGAAGUUCCAUUUUUCUUGCAGAAAAUCAUAUAUGAGCGACUAUGAAAGUUUUUCAAGUAUUAGCGCUCAAUUUUUUCAGUUGCAAAAACACGCCAUAGUCGUUAGCUGAACGCAUGUAGGUAGUGUAGGUCGCGAGUUCUAUAUAUUGGUACAAAACAAGUAUAUGUUAGUGUUGUACUAACGGAAGUACUAAAUAGAGUGGUUUUCUAAUUUCAAGCCAGUAGGUGGUCUUGGCGCAGUGGUUGCUCUGUUGAGACUACCACUGGUGACAAGCGGGUUCUUUUUCGCGUCUGCUUUUUGAAGUAGCUGUUGGGCCGGCCCACUAGCGGCGCAUUCAGCGCCGAGUAGGAGCUCCCCAUCUCAGAGCGGAAUCGCACGGUCUUAAAAUCGACUGACCCAAAAGAAUUUUCAGCUGACUGACAUGUAGCUGAAGUGUAAAGAAAAUUUCAGGAUCAACAUAGUAGCAUCUAAAUCAUGACCGGUUGGUGUCACGCAAUGAACUCGUAAUUUUCCUCUCUUUUCUCCGACCAUGUAUGGCUGGCGGCCGCCGGGGGUUCCUGCCUAACCACGCGCCGUCGCUGUUGCAGUAGUGACUAUUACAUCAGACCGGACGAAGACUCCGGCAGGUCGUCGCGCGCGCCCAUAUCGACGCGCACACGCCUCCGCCUCCGCGCCACACACACACCGCGGACGCCCGAGUCCAAGACCUUGGUGCGCAAGGCUGGUGACUGCCACGGCCCCUGCCUAUAAAUUGACCCGCCCCCGCGCCGUCACUCCUCCCACCCCCACAGCACACCAUAGAGCUCGAUCGUCGCCCAGACCUACACUCAGCAGCGCCGCACGCCGCUCAGUUCCGUCCCACCAUUCCUAAUCCAACGAUCUCUGUUGGUUUCGUCAUUUGGACCGAUGGCCGCCAUGAAGGUAAUUGCUUGCAGUCGACCGAACUGGGGUUUCUCUCCUCUUCGGAUUCUGAUUGCAGACGGCCGGUUUUGCUGAUCUUGUUUUGUUCUUUGACGGUUGCCCAAUUCAGGUGGUGCUGAAGCUGGACGUGCACGACGACAGGCAGAAGCAGAAGGCCAUCAAGGUGGUCUCCGCGCUCCAUGGUAGUAAUCCCCUGUUUCUCUCAUCUUCUUGCUCUGCUUCGUCUUGAUCAUGAGGGAGAUUAGCGGUCAUCCAUGUCUGAAUUUGAUACUAGUUCUGACGACAACAACCCUCACUUCCUCAGGGAUAGACCACAUCGCCGUCGAUAUGAAGGACCAGAAGAUGACGGUCGUCGGUACCGUCGACCCCAUCGCCGUCGUGGCCUUCCCCACGGCGCAGAUCUUCUCCGUCGGCCCGGCCAAGGAGGAGAAGAAGGACGGCGACAAGAACGACGCGGGUAAGCCGGUGGAGUACCCGACGUACUGGUACCCGCCGCCGCCGUACCACCCGCACCUGUACCACCUCGCUCACAGCGCCGAGGAGGACCCCAACUCGUGCGUCAUCUGCUGAUCGACGCGCGCCGCCGAUUCCCGCCAUUGUACACUUUGUAGCUGGCCUUCCUUCCUGCUUGCCGAUCGAUAAGGCUACCUGCACUGGUGAUCAACGGCGUGCGUUAUAUAUAUGGAUGGCCGUGUAAGGCGUGAGUUGCGCCGGUGAUCGGCCAGCUGUACAGCACACCUGCAUGUGCCUGUGCAUCUGCUUAGUUUGUAAUGUACAAAUACAGAAUUAGAAUUACAGUAUGUUGUUCAAAAAGGAAAAUCAUCAAGUUGUUACAAGAAAAGUGUGCAGAGGGACCAGAUAGAAUUGCUGCACUUAUUUUUCAGAUAAAAUUGAUGGAUUGAUCUUCAAUAGUGACAAGAAAAUAA